rnacentral:lncRNA from 1 species
UGCAUAUUGCAAGAUUGGAGAUAUGGGGUCUGCUAUGAAAGUGAAGAACAAGAUGAUGGAAGCCGGAUUGAAGUUAGAUCAAUUUACAUUCAAGGCAUUGAUUCAUGGAUUUUUCAAGGUGAAUGAAAUGGAUAGUGCAAAAGAUUACUUGUUCAACAUGCUUGAUGCAGGGUUUUGCCCUAGUUAUUGCACCUAUUCAUGGCUUGUUGAUGGGUAUUGUAACUUAGGCAAAGAAGAAGAAGUUAUGAAGUUUCCAGAUGAAUUGUUGAAAAGAGGCUUAAUUGUUGAUGUCUCGGUGUACAGGGCACUCAUAAGACGGUUCUGUAAACGAGAAAGGCUCGAUUGCGCCGAAAGAAUAUUCGGCGUUAUGCAAGGAAAAGGUAUAUGUGGAGAUAGUGUAAUAUAUGCUAACCUAGCAUAUGGUUAUUGGAAAAUGGGGAAGGUGAAUGCUGCUUCAAAUCUAUUAAAUGAAAUGUAUGAAAAGAGGUUGAUGAUAACUCUCAAAAUCUAUAGAUCUUUCACUGCUUCAUAUGGUGGUGAUAAUAAUAAUAGCAUUUUAGUUUUGUUUUGGAAUCAUGUGGUUCAAAGGGGAUUAAUUUCUAAGAGUAUUUUGAAGGAUAUCAAUAAAGGUGAGAUUUGAACCUAAGUUGUAGCCUAUUGGUCUGGUAUUUUACCUUAAGAAGAGCUUGGUUCGAGUAAUCGUUGUAAAAAAAAAAGAUUUGGAUUCAUGAAUUAACCUUUCAUAUAGCAGUUCAUAUGGUUCAAAAUUCAACUGCUAUUUCCCCUUUUUUAUUCUUGCUUCUUAAAAGGUAAUGUGAGCAUAGUUAUACUUUGCAAUAUAUACUUGUAGACACCCAACUUCAUGAGACUUAAUUUCAAUUAAGCGUGAGCAAAAUUCGAAGAACUCGAAAAAAAUUUUAAUUUCAGGUUAUCGAAUCGAGUUUUCGGUUUAUUUGAUUUCGAGUUGAGUUGAAAUUUAUAAUUCGAAUAACUUGAAUAAUUUAAAUAAUGGAUUUGUGUAAAUACUCUUUUUUCUCAUCAAUCUCGAAAAUGAGCAAAUUAGACUUUUUCAACAAAAAAAUUCAGAAUAAUUUUCAAAAAUUUAAAAUAUUUAUAAAAAAUCAUAAUUUAAAAAAAUUAAAAAAUAUAAAGAAUAUAUAAAAAAAUUAAAUUUUUUUAAAAAAAUUUGAAAUAAUAAUUUUGAUGACCUAAACAAGUAAAUUACAAAUUCAAGUCUAUCGUACUAAAAUAUCUUCUUCUUCUUUUCUCGUACUUUGCUUUGAAAGAAUUUCAAAUAUAUAAGGUUUCAAAUUUAUAUGCUCUAAUUUGGAAUUAAUUCCAUUGUAACAAGAUUUUAUUUGAUAUGUUUAAACUUUUAAUUUAAUUCAAACAAUUUCACUCGAUUUGAAUCAACUUAAAUUUCAUUUCACUCAAUUCGAUUUGAAAAAAAAAUUCAAAUAAAGUUAAGAUGAUAAAAUAGAACUCGUCAGUUCGACUAACUCGAAUUUUUUCACUUGAUUCGAUCGAACAUUCACACGUGGAUCUAAUUCAAUAUUGUAUUAAUUCCAUUUUGAUUCAAUUUUAAUUAUCAAAUUUAAUAACUCAAAAAAUUACUCAUUUGUUAGACUUAUUAGAACCAAUUAUGUAAGUAAAUAAAAAUAUUGAUAUAAAUAAUAAUUAAGAAUUGGUUUUUUGUUCUAGAUUCUAUUAAAAAUAUAAAUUUAUUUUUGGUUAGUUUGUUUACAAAACGAAAUUUAUAUAAAAGUGCAAUGACUAAAUUCUUAAAAAUAAAAGUAGAUGGAAUACAUUCUUAAAAUGCAGAGAGACUAAAUUCUUAAAAGAAUAAAAGUACAGGAACUAAAUUUCAAAUUUGUAAAGAGUACAAGGACCUAUGACAUAUUUUAACCUUUUAAAUAUCGAUAAAUUUGAAACAAUACCUCAAAGCAAAUUAAUAUCAAUACUAGUUUGAAUAGAAAAAUGAUACGCUUACGGCCAAAAAUUCUACCAUGCUUUUGCAAAAAGAGAAAAAGUAUAUCGAAAAUUUUAAUUAUAGCAUUAGAAAUUUUGGAUAACCUCUAAGGUGGGAUAUUAUUAUAGUGAGAUAUUGUUGGAUUUUUUUAAAAUUAACAAUUGUGAAUAAAUGAGGGAUUAUAUUCAAAUUAUUAAAAAAAGUAUAAAAAUUAUAAAAAAAUAUAUUUUUUAAUAAAUUUAUUUUUUUAAAAUUAAUUCAUUAGUAACAUGGUAUACACAUAGACUAUCACAUGAUUCAUCUAUUUUAAGGUGAUUUUACAAGCUAUACAAGUUCAGAGAUUAAAAAGAAACAAAAAUUAAAUAAAUAAUUAAAAUAUAUUUUUUAUAAAGUUAGAGGACCAAAUAAGAAUUAUUCCAUUUUAGUAUUAGUAUAACGUGAUUCUUUUUCUCCGGAACGCACAGUAGAAUUUGCCGUCUACCGGCGGUACUUACUACUUUAAUUUUCACACUACAAAGCACAAAGUGUGACUAAAUUAUAGGUCAGUGAUAACAUCACCCUGCCAGCCACGUAUCUAAUCACAGCCAACCAUACCAUAUAUAAAUGAACACGCUUUACAGCCACUAAAAUUGCUCAACGUGAUAAAAGUAAAAACGUGGCACGUGGUAAAGAUAAGAAUUUGAAAUCCACGUGUCGCACUAGUGGAGACUCCCAACAAAAAGACGGCUUUUGAUGUGGAUGGAUAAUAACAAAAGCUUACUUGUCGGUUAUGUCAUGACAUGUGAAAGUCGUUCAAAAGGGCACCGAAAAGUGCCACGUGCAAGCUUGGAUGAUGUUCAAAAUCGCGUUACGUGCCGUAUGUCCAGACGGUUUCGCGUUUGCAACGCUACAAUUUCUACACUCUUUUGCACUUCUAUUACUUCACUCUACUUAGCUCCACUGCGUACGGAUUUUACGUAUAUACCCUCAAUGCUCUUUUUAAUACAUAUAUUAUUAGUAAAAUAUUUAAAAUUUAAAAUAAAUAAAUCUCUUAUUUAAAAAAUUAACCAUUUAAUAAUUUAUAUAUAUGAAAUAAAUCAAUAAUUUAAUUUUAUGCAUUCAACAAUAAUUAAACUUUGAUUUUGUGUAAUUUUAUAUAUAAAAUUUUAAUUUGAUUCAAUUAUUAUAAAUUAUUAACAUAAUUAUUGACAUAAUAUUAUUUUAUGUUUAUAUAUUCUAUACAUAAAUAAUCAUAUUUAUUCAAUAUAAAAAUAAAUUAAUAUAUUUAUUUCUUUAAAUACAUAUGAUUAAAUUAAAAUUAAAAUUUUACGUAACUAGAGUUUUAUGUAUAUAAUUUUAAAAUUUACAUCUUAAAAAAUAUUGGUUUGUUGUACUUUAAAAACAUGAAAAUUCUGUACUUGUGGAAAGUCAUUAAAAUUCCAGAAAAGGGGUAAUAAUGGAAAAGCAAAGAACAGGGAAGGGGAUUUGUGUUAAUUGUAGAAAGGAAAAGAGAGAAUAAGAGGAAGGGUGUUAGAGUGACACACGUGGCUAAAUAAUGGAUUCCCUUUUAAGGAAUUAGCCGUGUGUGUGUCUUUCUAGAACUCAAAAAAGCAAAGCCAGCCAGCCAACCGAACACACAUUGAAGUGUGCCAAAAAACCGAAACACAGGAAUGUUACGGCAGAACAGACGAUACCAUUGCCAAGCUGCUAUCUUACAACCAAUCAUCUUUUCACCAAGUUAUGGGCACUCAAUCUAUUUUUUUAAUAUUCUUGUUUGGCCUAUAAGCCUUCAACGUGGAGCAUAUUUAGGGAAUAAAUAAAUAAAUGAAUAAAGAUUUCUUCAAUCAAAAGGCAAACAUGAUUUGUAGUUGUAAGCAAUAUAUGCCAUUGUUUUGGAUUUUUAUUUACUAUUUUGUUUAUAUUUGAUGUAAUUAAAAAAUAUAUUAUUACCGAUUGAGUUUAAACUCGAUUGGUAUGAGUAUUGUUAUCAAUAUAGAAGAACGUGAAUUCGAGUACGAUGAAACGCAUUAUCCUCUUAUUUAUGAGUUAGGGAGGGAAAUAACGUUCUCUUUUCAUGGUUCAUAUUUUGACUUUGUCUCUAAACUUUAAAAGUUUCUAAUUGAGUCCUAAAAAUAUUAGUAUCUUAUCAAUAAAGUCUUUUGUCACUUAAAUGCUAGCUCAAAAAUAAACUAUAAGCAUGUGUGUACCUACUGCAUUAACAUCUUGGAUUCAUAGUGUUAAAAAGAAAUAGCCCUCCUAUAUAUUUUUUAACCGUCAUAUUCGAGUUGUUGAUGUGAUAUACAUACACAUGAUUACAAUUUGAUCAACGUAUUUUAAAUAUGUUCCAUGACAAAUCUUAACUACCGUAUAGCAUCUAAACUGACAUUUGCAUUGAUGGAAAGACUUGAAUAAUACAACAUUGAUACUUUAAAAACUUAAUUAGAAUGAUUUGAAAUUUAGGGACCAAAUUAAAAUAUGAAAAAUUGUUUAGGGACGUUUUUAUGAAACUAACCUUAGAAAAAAGUGGGUAGAAUAGCAGUAGGAAAGUGAUAAGAAGAGCUGGCGUAGCAAUGUUUUGACUUGGAAGAAGUCAAAUAUAAUCUGCCAAUAGAGAAGCUCUCAGUCUCCACACACCUCCUUUCCUUUUAGUUGACCGACUUUUCUUCCUACAAUUUCUAUAUAAACCCCUUUAACUCACACCAAUUUUAACUAGCACUUAAAAAUUUCCUUUUGUUUUCUUGCACUUGAUUGAUUCGAAGGAAAUUAGAAGAUAAAUAUGGCCCUUGAAGCUCUGAAAUCUCCAACAAUGGCGACUGCCCCUUACAGCAACAAGUACGAAGACAUCGACAACAAUUACUUCGAUACAUGGAAGAAAGGCAAGCGUUCAAAGCGACAACGCGACGACGAGUCUUCUUCUUCUCCGCCGCCGCCACCACCGCCGACAAAUGAAGAAGAGUACCUUGCUCUUUGUCUCAUCAUGCUAGCUCGUGGUGGUUCCACCACUGAAAAAGCCGUGACAGACGGUGGAAACGAUGACCAUCGUCUGUCUUCUUCUUCUUCAGCACCGGCACCAGCGGCUUUGAAGUUGUCUUACAAGUGCAGUGUUUGUAACAAGGCUUUCCCUUCUUACCAAGCUCUAGGUGGACAUAAAGCCAGCCACCGUAAAUCCUCCACCGAUGCUAAACCCGAUAAUCAGUCCAUCACCACCAGCAGUACCACCGCCAGCGGGGAAGCCGGCGGUAACGGUAAAGCCCAUAAGUGUUCGAUCUGCCAUAAGUCUUUCCCUACAGGCCAAGCUUUGGGAGGUCACAAACGCUGUCACUACGAAGGCGGAAACACCACCACCACUACCACCACCACCGCCAUCACCAACAACGAGAGCAGUAGCGUCAGCUUGAGUGGGGUGACGGUGUCGGACGGUGGCGCGUUGAGCCAAACCCGUUGCGUCGACUUUGACUUUGACCUAAACUUGCCCGCUUUGUGCGAGUUGGAAAUCAAAGAUGGAAGCAGAUUUUGUCAAAUCUAUACAGAGCAAGAGGUUGAAAGUCCAUUGCCGACCAAGAAACCACGUCUUAUGACAGCUUCUUUAGCACAACAUUAAUUUCAUUAGUGUUUAUAGGAAUUAAACAUAGAGUGAAUUCAUUUAUUUUUGGGAUUUAUGUUUUUCUUUUUCCAUUGAUUUUUGGGAUUUCUAUUAAUUUGAUCUUCUUUAGAGUGAAUUCAUUCAUUAUUUGUGACCUCUACUGUUGUAUAUUCCAUUGAUUCAUUUGUUGAAGAAAUGCUUAAUAAAUAUAAGUUUUCUUUUAAUAUUUAAUUUGGUAUCUUAUUUUUUUUUAUUUUAGUAUUUAAAUUUAAUUUCGAUAUUUAAUUUAAUUUUUAAAUUAAAUAAAAUUAGGUGACUCGAUGAAUAUUUGACGUAUAUAUUUUUAUCUAUUAAAUUAAAAAAAUUUAAGUAUUAAAAUAACAGUGAAAUAAAAUUAAAAUAUUAUAUAAAUUAAAUUUGUUAAUUAGAUUGUUUGAUGAAUAUAGAUUUUAAAUUAUAAAAAAUAUAUCCUUAAUUUUAAAUAUUUUAUUUUUUCUAAACAAAAAUUAAAUUUUAAAUGUAAAGUUUAGCGGGAUUAUAUAACAUUAAAAUAAAUAAAAUAAAAUAGUAUUAAUUGAAAAUAUUUUUCAGUGAGUAAUAAAUUAACUCUUAUACUUAUUAUUUAUUUAAAAUUACCAAAACACAUAUAAAAAAAUUAAUUAAUUUUCUAUUGAUUUAAUUUUUUUCAAUCUCCUACAAAACAGCCCUUAGUUGGAAUGGGAGUGGAGAGAACUAAGCUAAGAACAAGGCAAAAGUGAAUGCCGCGUGAAACAGCGAAGAGACAGCAGGCAAGGGACAAGGAGUCACGGAGGUGGUGGUGGUUUUAUGUUUUACAGACAGGGAAAACCAGGCAGCCGGCCCAUGUUAGGGGAUCUAAUGAGAUGGUUAACAGUUGAAACCGCCUAGAUAUCCAUCAUCUCCAUGUGGGUUUCCAUUACAUGCUUUUCAAUGCACGUGGCUGGCAAUGUCACCGUCAAUGGAUCAUAAUGAUCAUCAUGACCUUGUAUAUAUAAUACCUCUUCUAAUGAGAUUUAAGCGGUAAAAAUUAUAUUAAAGUUAGAUUAUAUUUUGUUGUUUUUUAUUAAAAUAAUGGAUAAUUUAAUUACAAUUAAUAACUAAAAAGUAAAUUAAUUUUUUUCUUAAAAAUUUUAUUAAUUUGUAUUAUUAAUAAUUGAUGUAGUUAACGGAAUAAUCAGACAAUGACAUGUGAUGUGUCAUGUGUAUCUGUUUAACUUUGAAUAGUAAAAAUACAUGAAAAUUUUAAGAGAAAUACCAAUUUGAUAUUUGAUCUAACUUAUAGAGGAUAAAUUGCUCAUUUUUAAUAAAGGAAAAAAAUGUAAUCCAAAUCUUAAUGUAGGGAUUUCUUUAAUACUUUUACCAAAUUUAAGCCAAGUGAUAUUUUGCUACUCCACCAAAAUGAUACUAGUUUUUCUAUGAAUAAUUUAAAUAAUUAAUUAUAAUGGUUUCUUGUUUAAUCAAGUUAAUGAAAAGAAGAUUAUCCAUGGUCUGAUAAGUUGAUUUUUCUACAAUGGAUAAAGAAAUGGUAAAAGUACCAUAGAGGUCCCCUAUAUCAAGAAUCAGAUUGCAUUUUGCCCCUUCUAGUAAAAAUGGGUAAAUUAGUCCUUGCACUUUAGAUCAAAGAGUAAAUUGGUCAUUCCUGUUAAAAAUUUAAUCCAUUUAUAUUGUUAAAACUAAUAUGGUUAACAGAAUAACUAGACAAUGACAUGUGGCGUGCCAUAUAUACCUUAUUCUGACAUAUAGGGACCAAAUUCUAACAAUGAAAAUAGAUAGAAUUUUUAAUAGAAUGAUCAAUUUUCUCUUUAAUCUAACAUAUAUGAACUAAUUUGCUCAUUUUUUUGAGUGAAAAUGACAAAAUCUCACUCCUAAUAGAGGAGCCUCCAUGACACUUUUACCUUAAAAGAUCAUAAAUACGAGUUUUAAAUCGGUCAAAAUAUUCAUCUAUUCUUAAUUAUAGUAUAAACAAAAAUUCUUAUUAUUUGUGAAAUUUCUAAACUUUUGUCACUAAGGACAAUCAAUCACAACUUGUAUGUUUUUUGUCAAUUUUACAUAAUUUGAUUAGUAUAAUAACAAAUUUAGCUCUAAUAAUUUACACAUUCUAUCAAUUUGCUCAUGAUUUGACAAAUUUAGCCAACAAUAUGUUUGUAAAUGUGUAAAUGUUGAGGCUAAAUUUGUUAAUUUUUUUUAGAAUCAAUACCAAAUUAAUAAAAUAUAUAAACAUCAAAGGCUAAAUUUGUUAUUAUACCAAUCAAAAUUAUGCACAACUAAAAAAAAACAUUAACAUCAUGAUGAAUUGUCCUUAGUUGCUUGCUUCUAAAAUUGACAGUGAUUAAAUUACUUCAAUUCUUUCUAAAAGGACUGAUUUGCUUAAUUUUGAAACGGAGAAGGACUAGGGAGAUCUUUUACCAAUUAUCUAUAUAAGAACUAUUACUAAUACAAUCUUAAGUCCCAUUAAUUUCGCCUUUUUAUUAAAAUAUUUUUUUAUUACAAAAUAAAAAUUAUCAACUCAAAUAAUUCAAAAUCUUUGAGUUAACAAUCUAACUCUGGACGGGGUUUGUCUGUCCUAAUUGUCUACGUAAAUUAAGAACCAGUGUGACGCCUAUCCUUAACUCUCUUUACUCAAAAGUCUUUGUAUGCUUGUACGAAUUCAAUCCCACAUCGAAUGUGGGUGGCAUAUUAUGAUCAGUGCCAGCGCCAUCUAUACUAAUCCCAUGGGAUGCUAUAAUUAGUCUAAAUAGUUUCCUUGUGGGGUAACUUUACAGAUGAGGAGGAGAAAGUAACACCUGGAAGCCUGCGACAUUUUUGAUAGAGAGGGUUUGCUUUCUUGCGAAGGGAUAGCCGUGAAGUCCGAACUACUUUUAGCGGCAGAAACUUGUUAAUAUUAUCAUUUUAAUAGCUAUAUAUAUAUAUAAUUUUUAAAAAAUUAAAUUAAAAUUUUAGAAAAUUUUAAAUAAUUUUUUUCCAGUCUAGAGGAUGCGGCUGCCACCCUUGUCUACGCUAGAGGUGCUCAUGGACCGGGCCGGGCCCAUAAAAAAUUGCUGCCCAGGCCCGACCCAGCUUGAAAUGUUGCCCAGGCCUAGCCCGAGAAAAAUCAUAAGCUCGGCUCGGCCCGGCCUAUUUUUUUAAUAAAAUACCAAAAGUUUAUUUUAAAAAUUAAAAAAUAUAUUUUAAAAUUAAAAAAAAUUUAAAAAAUAAAUAUAUUUAUUAUAUUGGGCCAGGCCGGGCCCUGGCCACCUCGUUUUUUUGCCCAAGCCCAUAUUUCGGGCCUAUAUUUUUACCCAAAACCUCUCAUAUUUCGGGCGAGCCGUCGGGCCGGGCCGGGCCGCCCGACCCAUGAGCACCUCUAGUCUACGCCCUGCUAAGAGUCUUUGCAUUAUGCGCUUUUUAAAUUCAUAAUUUUAUUCAUUUUUGGGUAUUUUUCGAAUUUUAUAAGUGUACUUUGGUCUUUGAAUUUGUCAUCUGAUUCUAUUUUAGUAUCUAAAUUUGAUAGGAUCAAGAGUUAAUGGUGUGACCAAUGUUAUUGAAAUAUAGAAUCGGAUUAAACAAUUUGAGAGUUGAUCUAUAUAACGGUUCCAACAAAUAGGUUGAAUUAAUUGACUCAAAAGUUGCUUGAAGUUGACAAAAGAAAAGGAACAAAAUCGAUAGUUGAACAUGUUGGAUCGAUGUAAUAUUCUUUUCCUUAAAUUUUUGUAGAUCUUUAUGAAUUUUUAACUAUUGUUAGUAUGACGAUCGAAUCAUCAAAUUGGUUGAAUCAGGAACCAAUGGAUUAACUUGUUCAACCAUUAAUCUGGUUAUUGAUUGUAAACUUAUAUAACUUUAUUAAUUUCAAGUGAUCAUGAGCCACAAUCUCAUAGUGCCACAUCAUCAAAAUUUUAUAUUUCUUAAGUUUAAAGACCAAAAUGGACUUAGUUGUUAAACUCAAGUGUCAAAGUGGAAAUAAAUACAGGUGCCAGAGUGAACCUAAUUGCCAAGUUCAACAGUCAAAUAUUAUAUUACCCCUUUCCAAUUUGGUCAUUCUUAGUUUUUAUAUUUUUCAAAAUUUGAAAUUUAAGUUUUGACGCUAAUGAUAGUCGUUAAAUUCAUUAACUUUUUUUUUGGUAGUGUGUGAAAAUAGUUGGCUAAGUGCAAGUAAUAAUAUGUUUGCUGCAUAAGAUUUUAAAAAUAAUAUAACUUGAUUAAUUUAAUAAUUAUCGUUUUGUCAUGAUUGGAAUUUUAAAAUUCAAAAGCAUAAGAAUUAUAAAUGAUCAAAUUAAAAACACAAGACCUAAAUUCACAGUUAAUGCAUAGUAUAAGGACUGAUGGCAACUUUUAUAUUAUAAGAUCAAGUAGUUUAAUCUUUCGAAUAAUUAUUUGAUACAUAGAUAGUCGAAAAAUAAAUAAAUCUAUAUAUUGAUAGGAUUAUUAUAAUUCUCAUAAUUGUAGGAUAUGAAAGUGUCAAGUGUUUUAUUUAUUUAUUUUUUAAAACUUUUAAAUUUACUAAAAAAAUGGCCAUCAUUGUAAGACUACUUAUGAAAUUUUUAAUUUUCAUUAACCAUGCAUCAAAUAAUUAUUGAUGUCGAUAAGGGAUAAGGGUAGGGUUAUUUAGAGAUGCAACUCGAAAUUGUUAUCAAUUAAAUUUUCAAUAUAAACAGAUAAAGAUAUGGAUUUUGGGAAAACGAUAAUACAAGUGGUUAAAUUAUAGUUUCAAACCCUUUACUUUGCUUAAAUAUGAGAUUUAUUUUUUGUAAAUUAAUUUGAUAUAAUUUAUUCUUUGCAAUUUUAUAAUGUAAUUAAUUAGUUCAAAUAGUUAAUAAUAUUUAUUUGAGGCUAUUAAUGAUAUUACAAAAACAAAUAGACUAAAUUAAAAUAUAUAAACUAUAUCUAAAUUUUGAAUAAAGGAGAAGAAUCAAAACCGAUAUAAUAUGAUGAAUACAUAAAUAAAAAUGUCAUAAAAAAAGUUCGAGUUAAUUACAUCAAAUAUCCUCAAACUUUGAUCAUCAUUUUAAAUUGACGUUUCAAACUUUAAAAAGUUUUAAUUACAUCCUCAAUUUAUUAAUUAUCAUAUCAAUCAGAUCUUUCAAUUAUUAAAACCGUUAAAUAAUAUGUCAAAUUUUAUGUGCCGUAAUUUAAAAUAAUUUUAUUAAAGAAAAGUAAAAUGAGAUUGUAUAACUUUUAGAAGUAAAAUUGAAAAAAAAAAAGAGCAAUAAAGUUUUUGUAAAAGUUUCGAAAACCUUAAAACUAUGAUUUUUAUGAAAUCUAUUUUUACAAUAUUUUUUGAAAGAUUAUACCAUACACCGCCCUGUAGGGUUUUUUGAACCUCACAAGCGAGUUUAAGACGUGACAAGUGUCUUAUAGGGUGUAGUAAAAAAUAAAAAAUAAAAAAUAUAAAUAUAAAUAAAUAUAAUACUUGUCAUACCCUUAGCCCACUUAUGGAGUCUAGAAAACUCCGUAGGUGAUGUAUCAAAUAAUUACUCUUCAUAUAUAUUUUUCUUGAACUUUUCGUUUUAAAUUAUAUCACCUACGAUUUGGCAUAUCAUUUAACAGCUAAACUAAUUAUUUUAGUAAAGAAAUAACCUUAUUAAUACAAUCUCGAUAAUUUAAGGAUGUAAUUAAAAUAUUUUAAAGUUUAAGGACUAAUUUAGAAUGAAGAUUAUAUAAUGCCUUUGGGCCAAAAACUUUGGAAAGACUAGAGGAAGUACAAAACAGAACUGUAAAUUGGGCUAAAACGAAGGGUUUGGUUAAUGGGUUUUCGGCUCUGCGUGGCUUUUAGUUAAGAAUGUUAGAAGCCCUAUUCAUCUUUAUUUAUUCAUGAUUAAAUGGGUAAAAUUGUUAAGUUCAAAUAUUAAAGCCGAUAAAAGAAAUAAAGUAUUAAAAUGUAAUUAGUUGCUAAAUUUAAGGCCAAAAAAUUACAUUAAUCUAAAAUUAAAUGAUAUUUAAAUUUGAGUAAAAAUUACACAAGAUUAUGAUUCACUCAAGAUGUGGGUGAAUAUUUUUUGUAACGAAAUUUAAAUAAUUUAAUUUACAAGAUUUUUUAAAUGAUUAUUUGAGUUAUUAAAAAUCAAAAUGUUUUGAGUUCAAAUUAGAGGUGUUCAUGGGUCGGGCCAGAUCUAAACAUGAUAUUAAUAUGCUUUAUGCUUGCCCAAGCCCAGCUUUGCUCAAAAUCUGAGACUAAAAUUUUACCCAAACUCGCCUAUAUUUGCAAAAGACUAACUCAUGCCAAUUUUAGGCCCGUUCAGAUUAUUUUUAAUUAUUUUUAUAUUAUAUUAUUUUAAUAUUUAAUUAUUUUAUACAAUUUUUAUUUAUUAAAAUUUUUUAUAUAGCCAUCUUAACAUUAUUUUAAUGUUUACAUUAAAGUAGUAUUAUAUAUUUAGUAUAUGUUUAUUUUUUAAAUGUGUCCUAAUUUACAUAAUAUAUAAAAAUAACAUAAUAUAAAGCAUUAUAAACUUAAACUAUCAAGCUUGAACUCGACCCAUACUUUAAAUGGGCCUAAUUUUUUUUACCCAAGCCCAUUUUUUGGAUCUAAUAAUUUUUCCAAACUCUCCUAAAAUUCGGAUGGACCUUUGGGCCUGGGCGAGUAGCCCGACCCAUGAACAAGUCUAGUUCAAAUGAUUUUAUACGAUAAAUAUUUUUUUAAUAAAUUCUCCAUUAAAUUGGAAUAAAAUUAAACGGUGACACUAACUCAAUAAAAAACAUUAAAUAUUAUUUUUAACUUAGUUGCACGUAUUCAUAAUACAAAAUUUUGAAGAAAAAACCCAUAAAAACCCGAAUUUAAAAUUUUAAAAUUGGCAUCUUUUUAUAUAAAAAUCAUGAAAUUUUUUAUUUUUAAUUAAAAUUUGAAAAUAUUUAUUUAAACUCAACAUGAAAUUCGUAAAGUAUGAUACAUGCAAUGUGCUCAAAAUUAGGCAUGUAGAUGUAGGAAGCAUCCUUUUGUAGUUAUGAGCAUCUUUUUCUAUGUUCAUAAAUCAAAAUUCUUCCACACAUUUUUCUCAUGGAAGUCUUCCAACUACACACCUUUUUAUUAUCAAUAGCUCGUAUCAAAAAAUAUCUGAUUUUUACAAAUAAAUUUAUGGCGUGAGAUAAUAAAUUAUCAGUUAAUCAUCGAAACCUCACAAUAAUAAAUAAUGACAAACAAAUGGUUAAAUCAAUAAAAAAGUUCAAGAAUACAAUUCUAUCAGGGCAAAGAAGUUGAAGAGUACAGUUAGGCAGGAUGACGGACUUGCUACAACAAGAAGCUUAAUGAGUGAUCAAAAUGAUAGAUAGAUCAUUGGGUUUGGCAGAUACUUGGGAAAUUGUACAAUGUUGGAGCCUGAGCUUUAGGGUAUUUUAGAUGGGUUAAAGCUUAUCCCAAAUAGAAGACUCGAAAGUGUCAUAAUUCAAAUAAAUAGUCUUGAGGGUACUAUUGCCAUUCAGGAGGGUGUCUUUAGAAUUUUGAACACAACUAUAAUAAGAAGAAUUCAUCAGACCCUGACAAAGGUAAAGCAGCGAAAGAUUCAACAUAUUCUCCGAGGAGAAAACACAAUUGCAAGUAAUUUGGUCAAGAUAAUUCGCGGCAGAAGACUAGGUUUAAGAUUGUUUGAAGAUACUCCUUCGAGGGUCUAACUUUUUAAGUCUAUAUUUUUUAAAUUUCACAAAAAAAAAGGCCUAUAUCUCAACCAACAAACAUGUUUAGAAGAGGUAUGAUCAAUAGAGCCACUUUUAUUUUGCUAAACUAUUCUCCUAAUCUAUCAUCACCUUCCUCUCUACCAACUUAUCGGGAUGAAGUCAGAAACUUUUGUUUAGAAGUCAAAAUAAAAUUCAAAGUUCUUGGGAAGCGCAAAGCAUGAAUAUUGUAUUAAAAAAAUCAAAUUGAAUUAUAAAAAUUUUAGAAGGACUAAAAGGGCAAUUAGCCCAUUGAAAAACUUCAACACCUGUAUAGCUCUUUUGCCUUCAUCAACCCAAACUACCUCUAAUAAUUAUAUUAUUAAAUUCCUAUUUAUAUUUUGUGUUUUUUGUUUGAAGUUAUACAUAAUUUAUGCUUGAUACAUAUGAAAAUACAAAUUUAAUAAUAUAAUUUUUUUUAUUGAAAGAAUCGAAAUAUAUACAAAUUGCAGGCUAUUAGCAGACCUCAAACUUGACCUAAUAUGCUAUAAUUGAACUUUGUCUGUUUUAAUUCAUUUUCACUUGUACUAGCAUUAAAUAUUCUUUUGAAACUCUAUUUUCUUUGGAAGCAUGAAAGAAUUUAUCCGAAAUUGGUUAAAUUAAAUUUUAUAACAUUUUUAUUAAUUUAUUUAAUUUGAAUUAGACGAAUAAAUAAUAAUAAUAUUGUUAAUUCAAUACUAAUUUAAUUCUAAAAACAAUAAAAAUAAUGUUUAUAAACCCAGAUUUCUUUUUUAAAAUAGACAAUCUGUCCAUAAAAUUCACUACUUGUAAUUGAAAAAUACCAUGUAUUAUGUUUACACAAUUUUUUUUUAAAUUAAAAAUUGAUAAUUUUUUUUAUUGAUUUCACAAUUAAAUCCUAGAGAUAGCUUAUAUUUUACACACAUUCUUGAUUAGUAUGCUUUUAAUCCUUGAAGCUAUCUUUAGUAAUUGGGCUUCACAAUUAUUUCUCAUGCACUCAGAUUUUGACAUUCCAUCAAAAGAACCAACUUUUUUUUCCCUUCUUCACCCCACUCUUUUAGUCAUGAUUUCUCAACAAUGAAAGGGACCAUAUAUCUUUUCUUCAUUUUUUUUUGGGAUUAAAAUCAUGAAAUUGUAAUAAAAUUUAUAGGUAAAAUGACCUCUUUGAUGCCUCUCGAUAUUGAUAUUAAGGAAAUUUAUCUUUUUCAAAAGAAAAGUAGAGCAAUUUAGUUAUUGUCAAUUUCGAGAGUGAGCAACUAAUGAUAAUUAAUCAUGUUUUUUUCGUCAAUUGUAUAAAAUUUUGAUUGGUGCAAUAGCAAAUUUAUCCAUCAAUGUUUAUAUAUUCCGUGUAAAGACUACGAGCUAAAUUUAUUAAAUAAAGACUAAAUUGACAGAAUGUGAAAACUAUAAUGACUAAAUUUAUUUUUAUACCAAUAAAAAUAUGUACAAUUGUUCCAAUUUUUUUUGUGAGAGACUAAUUUACUAAAUAUCAGAAUUAAGAGGGACCAAGAGGUUUUUUUACCAAAUGUAUUCAGUUCAUAGGGUAAUAGGAGAGAGAUAGAGAUAGAGAUAGAGAUAGAGAUAGAGAGAGAACAAUAUAGGUUAAUUAGGACGCAAGUAAAGAGUAAAAGAGAAGCCCCAUUUAUAAGCUGAGAGUGUCAGCUUUGGCGUACAUAACUGAGCUUAGAGAUGUUGACUGUGUUAAUACCAACGACCCCAAAAACUAAACCAAACUAAAUCUACUUUCUUUCACCAUUAUUAAUAAACCAAAAAUUUACACAAAACAACAACAAAGCUAAAAUAUUUGGGUUUGUGUUGAAUAGCAACCAGCUUGGCUUUUUUUGCCAAAAACUUCAAAAAAGAUAGUACUUUGAUAGGUACUAAAACCUGAUGAGUACAAAAAACUGGUGGGUUUAAUGUAAAUUUCCUUACUUUCUUGGGCUUUGGUACUUUUUUUUUGUUCAAAUUGACCAAAAUGCUCCUCUGCAUGGUUCCUGUGUGACUAAAUAAUUACUGUUCAAACGUUCUAUUACACUUAUUGCAAUGGUGGUGGCGUAAAAAAAUGAUCUUGGUAAGCUCUGUUUUUUUCAUUAAAGUCUUUAUGUUCUUAAAAUGGGAUUUCUUGUUUUGCUACAAUGGUGAAGGUGCUAUAUAUAUUUACAUAUAUUCUUUAUGGGAUUUGCAAAUUUGAUACAAGGGUCUUGGAUAUUGUUGGGGUUUACACGGAGAGUGGCUUUUGGGGGAUUGCUUUUCACUCUUCUUGGAUUCCAAGUUUAAUUAUAUGAUUUAUGAACAUUUUCCCAUUUUCUCAUUCAUGUGGUGGGGUUUUGGGAUUUUUUUUAAAUAUAUUAAAAAUCUGAUCUUUUGAAUCUUAACAACUUGUUAUUUUUAUAACUUAGAUCUCUGUGCGAUAUACUCUGAUGGAUUCCUCAGAUUGAUAUUGUUAUUUGGUAGUUGAUGUUUUGAUUCUUCAUGUUUGUUUAUUUUGAUCUCUUUUUUUUUUCAUUUAUUCCCAUACUUUAAAAAAUAAUAAAAAUAGAUGCUUGUUGUCUACCGUUUUGGUGGUUUCUUCAUCUGAUACCAAGAUGCUGCUUUUAAAACUAUAUAUUGAUUAGUAUAUGCCAUGUUUGGAGCUUGAAACUCUGGUUUUUGGGAAUUAUUUAGUACAAAAGGGUCUGUCAUCUAUGUUCCCCUGAGUUGACUGAGUUAGCCCGGACUCAGUGGACUUUGCCAUCAACAAAGGAAACAAAUGUUUCCAUGGCUCUCUUUCAACUUUUUUCAUAAUUUAUUACUCAAAAAUCCCGUCUUGCCAUUGAAAAAGCUGGUUGAAUUUAGAAGCUGGGUCCCCAUUCCCCACACUUGGUGUUAUAUUCUUUACCACUUUUGGCAAUGUUUUUAUUGGGUUAUGUGAGUUGCUGUGAUAGUUUGGUGAUUGGUUUUGAGUAAGAUUUCACAGGGAAGGAAAGGGAUCCUGUUUACUUUGACAAUAUGAAGUUUAUGAAGCUUGGAUCAAAACCGGAUACCUUUCGAAGUGAUGGGAAUAACGUGAGGUGAGAUCUCUUGGUACCCUUUAUUUGAAAUCUAACGUAUUGUCACCCUAUAUGUUGUUUGAUGUAUUCAAUCUUCCAUAAGAUCAUUGCUUUCUUGUUCAUUUCGACUUGCAUAGUCCUAUUAGGAAUCCUUUUGGAAUGAUGUCAAAUAUCGGUCUUUGGCUUAUGUUUUGAUGUGAUUUGCAGCUUUUUGUAGUCUAUUCAUUUGUUAUUUUUCCUCACAACAAUGACUACUUUGCUGCUGCUUAGGAUUUUCCGAGAAAAAAUCGACAGCCCUUUUUUGAGUAUCUUCUGAUCCAAGUGACGGAUCAUCUAAAUCUGACUAAACCUUAUGUGGUUUUCACUUUUUAUCUUUCUUCUAUGGUUCCUCAUGUAUGCAUUAUGCUUUCUGCAACUUUGAUUGUGCAUAGCCUAUGCAUCGUUUAUUAGUUAAAUAAAUCCGGUAAUCGUCAAGUUAUAGUCUAUGGUUAACUUUUUUAAUCUAGCCUUUGUCCAACCCGUGUGAGUGUUGAAAAAUUCUGAUGGUUUUACGCUUACGUGCUCCUCUUCAGGUAUGUAGCAAGUGAGCUAGCAACUGACAUUGCAGUCACUGUUGGGGAUGUUAAGUUUUAUCUGCACAAGGUAUGCAUUCAUUUCAUAUUUGGUUUAGAUCAGUUCAAUUGAGCAAGCUUGACUCCGUUCUGCUUGUUUAUAGUCUUAAAAGUUCAUUUGGGAUUUUGGGAUUAAUGGAAGAACAUAUAUGCAGUUUCCCCUUCUAUCAAAAAGUGCCUGCUUACAGAAGCUGGUUGCAAGUGGUAACGAACAAAAUUGCGAUGAAGUUCAGAUUUCUGACAUUCCUGGUGGCUCGGUUGUGUUUGAGAUAUGUGCCAAAUUUUGUUAUGGCAUGACCGUCAACCUUAAUGCUUACAAUGUCUUUGCCACUCGAUGUGCAGCUGAGUAUUUAGGAAUGUAUGAGACCAUUGAAAAAGGGAACUUAAUUUAUAAGAUCGAUAUCUUUCUCAACUCCAGCAUUGUCCACAGCUGGAAGGAUUCGAUCAUUGUUCUUCAGACUACAAAAUCUUUGUCACCGUUAUCCGAUGAAUUGAAGGUGGCCGGUCUAUGCGUCGAUGCUAUAGCUACCAAUGCUUGUAUUGAUGUUUCCAAGGUUGAUUGGUCCUACACUUAUAACCGGAAGAAGCUCCCAGAGGAAAACGGGAAUGAUCCGAACUUUAAUGGUGUCAAAAGUCGACCAGUGCCAAAGGACUGGUGGGUUGAGGAUCUGUGUGAACUUGAAAUCGAUCUAUAUAAGCGUGUUAUAAUGAGUAUUAAAACCAAAGGAAUACAAUCCCAUGAAGUGAUCGGAGAUGCUUUGAAAGCUUAUUCUUAUCGAAGGUUGCCGGGUUUCAGUAAGGGUGUAAUCCAUUCUCGUGAUGUUGGAAAGUAUCGAUCAACGGUUGACACUAUCGUCUGGUUGUUGCCUGCAGAGAAAGGAAGUGUAUCUUGCAGUUUCUUGUUUAAGUUGUUGAAAGCGGCUAUCAUAGUUGACUCAGGAGAAAUGGCUCGGGAACAGCUGGUGAGACAAAUAGGACAACAACUUGAGGAGGCUUCCCUGAAUGAUCUUUUGAUAAGAGCAGCAGAAAGGGAAGACGUAAUGUAUGAUGUCAAUAUGGUAAAGAAAAUAGUGAACAAGUUUCUGAUGCAAGAUCGGAAUGCUGAAUAUGAAUCGGAAGAAAACGAGGUUCAGGAAAUACAAAGAUCCGGAAUCUUAACAGAUGCUUCCAAGCUGAUUGUGGCAAAGUUGAUAGAUGCAUACCUUGCUGAAAUCGCAACGGAUCCGAACUUACCCUUGUCAAAGUUUGUAGACCUUGCUGAAACAGUGUCUUGCAUCUCUCGGCCUACUCAUAACGGGCUUUACCGAGCCAUUGACAUGUAUCUUAAGGUGAGAAUCUUGCCAAAACCUGUAUUUUUCCAUGCAUAGCAAAUCCGCAUUUACAUGAAUUGUGCUGUUUCGAUGCAGGAGCACCCAUGGAUAAGCAAGAGCGAGCGGAAAAGGAUAUGCAAGUUAAUGGACUGCAAGAAACUAUCAGCCGAUGCAUGUAUGCAUGCUGUUCAAAAUGAGAGGCUCCCAUUGCGUGUGGUCAUUCAGGUUCUCUUUGUCAAGCAACUCCGGGGGGCUGCUGCCACUUCAUCCGGAACUAGCACUCCUGACUUACCCAAAUCCCUGAAAAACCCAAAUGGCGGAUCUCACGGGAGCUCAAGAUCAGCACCAACUAAUCCGGAGGAAGAUUGGGAUUCAGUGUCUGCAACCGAGGAGCUGAAGGCUCUGAAACCCGAACUGGCUGCCUUAAGGUUGAGAAACCGCGGAGAUAAUAGAAACAACGUUGACAACGCGGCCGCCAUUAGUAAAAUGAAAGGUUUAAUGAAGUCAAAGAGGAUAUUUACAAAGAUAUGGUCAAGCAAAGCAGCCAUAGGUGAGAACAGUGGUUCAGAUUCAUCAGAGAGUCUUGGUUUUGCAAAUCCUGAAGAAGCUAAAUCAACACCAUCUAGAAAUAGGAGGCAUUCAGUUUCUUAGUAGAAAAUGUGGGAAAAUACAUUAACUUUUUGGUGGGGUUUUUUAAUGUUUUUACCUCUCCUAAUGACAAUGGUAAAUUCAAGACUAGUUUUAUGUUAACUCAGUAAAAUGAAGCAGACUAUAUACAUAUAAUAUUUUAUAUAUAUAUAGGUUUGUUUGUCUGGCCAUCGAUGAAUGCAAGAUGCCACUGCCAUGUACAUCAUGCAACACUUUUAGUAUCUGUUUCAUUUUUUUCAGUCACUCUUGAGUCCAAGAUGGGCUGAAAAUGAUCAAGUGCAUGUAAGUAGAAUAUAGUUACUAUAGAUAUCCUCAUACCUCCAAACGAAUUUACUUAGACUCUAUAUUAGGGGUGUUUCGAGGUCUUAAGUUGCAUAAGGUGAGUUUGAAUGGGCGGUGUACUUAUCUGCAAUAAGUGUAAAAACAACAGUGGCAGUGUGAUUAGAUACGGUAGGGUGAGACGCAUUGUACCACACCUCACUGCUCAUCCAAACCCACCUUAAAUUGGAUUGAACUCGUCAAUCAAAUCGAAAAUUAAUUUAUAUAUCGGUCCAAACAAAACAACAAAGGAGUUAAAAUAGUUUCAGAACGAAUUGCUGUUGGAACUGCAUUUUUUAAAUGUUUUUAACCUAAAUUAAUGGUCCAAAUUGAAAAAAAACACAAUUGGCCCAACCCAAAUACUUAAACCAGCUGGCCCAACUACUUAAAUACCUUAAAAAGUAUUUAAUAAAUGAGAAAAAUAAGGGAAUUUUUUUUUGAAUCGAUUAAAUUAUUGGCUUGUCUUAUUUAAUUGAAUAAAUUAUUAAAAUAAAUUUAAAAUUAAAAAAAUAAAAUUUAUUUAACAAAUAGUUCAACCUAUUUUAUUGGUCGGACAUUCUCAAUCCAAUAGGCUAUUCUUAUUCUAAAAACAGUGGAAAAGAAAAUAAAAACUAACCUAAAUAUAUAGGCCCGAUUAUGGAUCGGGCUUGAAAACUCGCUUAAAAAGUGAGAGGAUUUGGGUAAAAAUAUAGGCCCAAAAAAUGAUCUUGGGCAGAAAAAGAGGUUUGUUUUCUAAAAGGGCCAGACCUCAAGUAAGCUUUUUUGCCCGAAUUUGCAAAAAAAAUCUGCUGCUUUUUUCUGUUAUUUUCACUAUUUUUGUUACUGUUUUGGUGUCGUUUCACUAUUAUGUUGCUACUAUUUUAUUAUUAUUAUUUGGAUAUUGUAUAACUCUUAUUUUAUUAUUAAUUUUACUACUAUUUUAGAAGUAUUUGCUCUCUAAGAUGUACCUAUUUUAGUGUUAUUUAAGUAUAAAUAAAUUUUUAAUUUAUUUUCAAUUUUAGUGUAUUUGAUGUAUUAUAUUUUAUAAAUUUAUUUUUAUAUAAAAAUAAUAAUAUAAAAAAUUUUAAUACGGAGAGCUGAACUUAGCUUGGAUUUUAACAUUUUUAUUUGGGCCGAACUUAGACAAAAUUUUAAGCCCAUUUUUAAACCGAGCCUACAAUUCUAUUGAGGCCCUACCCGACCCAUUAUCACCAUUACCUAAAUAUAUUUGUAUCAUUAUUGUUUUAUAUAUAUAUAUAUUUGUAUUUCUAAUUUUUUUUAAAUAUUCUUUCUCAAGAAUUAGUUAUCUUCCUCCGAUUAUAACAGCAGAACAAAGAAUCAAAAGUUGGAUCUCAUACAAGCAUACAUAUAUAUAUUGUUCAAAACCCUGUUUUCCACAUAUAUUAUCCAGUUAAAAAAGAACCUUAUAUGAUUAACUGUGAAGCGGCAACAAGUUUAGCCAAACCCUAUCCAAUUAAACCCCAAAAAAACAAAAAAGAAGAAGAAGCCAUAGCUGUUACCAUACAAGUUUCUGACCGGCUUUGUACUGUUUCAUGUACCGUUUAUCUCGAAGGUGUUUUUAGAUUUUGUUAAAGCUGACCUAUCUGAUCUGUAUAUAUAAAAACUCCAUUAGCAUAAAGACACAAACAAAACCAGUAAAAUUUUGUUCACUGCUGCGUUUAUUACAAUGGAAUGAAGAAACAUUCUUGCAUUGACCAACCAUGUUUUGUGUUUUUGCAAUGGAGGAUAAAAAUCUUAUAUUAAAUUGGGUUAAUUUCAUCAAACGUCCCUAAACUAUUAUUUAGAUUCUAAAUUGAUCCUAAACUUCAAAAUUUUCUAAUUGGAUAUUCAAUGUAUCAAUAUUGUUUCAAUCUUAGGUUGAUUGAGCAGUAAAAGUAUCAUGGAAGCCUCUAUAUUAGGAGUCGAAUGUCAUUUUACCACCCCAAAACUUAAAAAAUGGGUAAAUUAGUUCUUAUACAUUAGAUCAAAAAGUAAAUUGGUCAUUCUGUUAAAAAUUAUAUUCAUUUAUAUUGUUAAAAAUUGGUCCACAUACAUCGGCAUAAGGUACACAUGGCAUGUCACAUGUCAUUGUCUAGUUAUUCUGUCAACCACACCAGUUUUUAACAAUACAAAUGAAUAAAGUUUUUAAUAUAAAUGACCAAUUUGUUAUUUAAUCUAAUGUAUAGGGAAUAGUUUGCCCAUUUUCUGAGUAGAUGGGGCAAAAUGCAAUUUGAUUCCUAGUAUAAAGGCCUCAAUGGUACAUUUACCUUAAUUGAGCUUUAGCUCAGUUGACAUCAUUGCUAUUACAAUAACAAGGAAGACAUGAAUUCAAGUGGGCUUAAGCGUGUUUUUCCUGCAAUUUAAAAGUUUAUACUUUAUAGGUAGAACUAAGCAUUGUAUAAAAAAGAAUAUUGUAUCAAUCUAGUACUUUUGUCAGCCUACCUGUCAAUUUAGGCACUAAUGUUAGUUGAUUAGGAGGGUUUACAAAUAAAAGUAGCCAUCCAAUAAAAAAAUAUAUUGUAACAAUCUAGUACUUUUGUUAGCCUAGUUGUCGAUUUAGACACUAAUGUUUAUUCGAAUUUGACAUAUAAUAUUAUUUAAAAUAUAUGAAUCAAAUUGAAUCUGGCACAUUAAAAAGAAAAAGAAUGGUGUCAAUAAAAUUUAGAAAUGUUAUUUUUUUUAACAGAUAAGAUCCAAUUUCUCCAUGCAACAAGUACACAUAUUUUACAAAUUGGCUCGCGUGUUUUAAUGAUGUUAUUGAAAUUGUCCAUAUAAUAAAUACACAUAUUUUAUAAUUUGAUUAACGUAUUUUAAACAUUCUUUACAUUAAUUUUGAACUGAGAAAAUGUCAUAAUUGAGGCAAUAUUGAUAUUUUUUAACUCAAUUAAAACAUUUUAAAAUUUGGAAAAAUGAUUAAGAAUAUGAGCUUAUGACUUGAGGAUGUCUAAUAUAAUUAACCCUAUAAAAUUUAUAAAAUCACAAAUAAGUCAAUGUUGUUUAAAUUCAAAUGGACCGUGAACUGGUGAGGAUAUCAGUUGAAAGAGAGGAAUUAGACCAAUUGAAUCAUUUGUUUUUUUUUUAAUAAUUUAUUUAAUUAAACUAGACAAAUUAAAAAUCGAUGAUUUGACUGGUUCAAUUAUCGAUCUAGUUUUGAAAACUUUAAAAUAAAUUGGAUUCGAAUACCUGAAUUUAAAAUACCAUUAAGAAAAAGGCAAAAAUCAAAGGAAAAUCUGAAUAAAUUCUGAUUCAUGGGAGAGGAUAGAGCUAAAAAAAAGAAAAAUCUGACCCUAUGAUUCUUUUUUCUUUUUUGCCCAAACCCACUUCCCAAACCUCAUUUGUCCUUCGAUUCCAUGGAAGGGACACUUUGAGAAUAAAAAGGGGAAAUUGUUUUUGUAUGCUGUGAAGGAAAGCACCAAAGCUCGAAAACGUCACACAUUUCACCCAAUCUUAGGCUCUUUUCUUUGUGGUUUCAAAUAACGCCAAGCCUUGCCUGACCCUGACCACAUUCAUUUCUUUUUUUUUUGUUGGGGGGAGGGGGGGGGGGGGAGAGGGUCAUGCAGGGACGAAAGCAAUGAAAAGUUAAAGCCAAUGGUGAUGGAUUAGAAUCCCAUUCCCCACCCAACAAAAACAAUUAAUAAAUAAAUAACUUUGAUCAAUUUUGAUUGUAAUAUAUUUGGAUUGAGUCCUAGCUUAAUUGGUAUGGAUAUUGUUGUCAAUGUAAGAGGAUAUGAGUUCGAGUGUGUUGAAAUGCAUUAUCUUCCUAUUUAUAGGUAGGGGUGUGCAAAUUUUGGAUAAAACCGAAUUAAUUCGGUCAGGGUCGGUUAAUAAUUUUUUGAAAGUUCGGUUCGGUUAAUUUUUUUUUUAAAUUUCGAUUUGGUUAACAGUUUAAAAGGGUCGGUUAAUUUAGUUAAUGAUAGUUCGGGUCGAUUAAUCGGUCGGUUAACCGAUUGAACACCCCUAUUUAUAGGUUGGAGUGAGGCUAUGGAUAGCUUUAGGUUUUGUGUAAAAAAGAGCACAUAUAUGAUUUGUUGGUAUGAGAUUACCUAUAGUGGUUAAAAUAUGUUCCAAAUUUUUGUAUUUUUCAUAUAUUUAAAAUUUAAAUCUAAUUAUUUACGUUGGUAAAGUUCUUCUAUUAAAUUUGUUGGUAUGACAUUCUAAAAUUAAAAGAAAAAUUACUUAGUAGUCAUACAAAAAAAAUGAAGAAAUAUUAACAUUACAAUUAGGGGUUUAAAUGACACAGUUGUACUUAUAAGCUAUUAAAGUUCGACUAUAAAAAAACUUGAAUUUGAUUUGGUAAUUAUUGGGUUCAAUUGAGUUUAAUUAUGAAAGUUCGAGCGACUUGCAAGUCUAAUUGAAUUUUCUUUUGUUUUUAGUAUAUUUUUAUAUCAUGAAAAUUCAGUUUUACCUUUAUUACUAGAAAGAGCUUAAUUGUGAAUAAGCUUGAGCUUAAAUAUGAAUAAACUUAAUCGAGUUCAAGUAACUCAAUUUUGUCUCAAGCCGAGCGCAGAAAUUGAUGCUCAAGCUCAAGCUCAAGCUUAUCACUGUUUGAGCUUGACUUGAUUCGAUUACACCCUUAGCUGUAAUAAGACUGAAUUUAGCAAAAGAAAUUUAACUGGGUUAACAAUAAGACUUACAUUUUUUAACUUGAAAGUAGAAGGAUUGAAUUCUUUAAAAUAAAAAAUAAGAAAACUAAUAUAUAAAAAUACAAGAGCUUAAAACAUAUUUUAACCAUUAUAUGUAUAUAUUUAUGUUUGAAUGUAAUGUUUGUGGACCAAACUGAAGAAUCGGAUAAAGACGGUGGAUGAGUGGGGAGGUGCGUGUGGGGGGUGACUAAAACUUCAAUGUGUGUGUCGGCUUAUAAAUCUAUAAACAUCGUCAUCCUCGUCCCCCUCUCAACAUCACCACCCCACCUUAUUUAUUUUCUUCCUAGUUUCCGCACUUCGUAAGUACAGUCACUUUGAUUCUAUGUUCUCCUUAUUAACCCCUUUCUCGUUAUUAAUCUUAUCCCAAUCCAACUUAUGAUUCUUUUUAAGGCUAAUUAUAUCAAAUGUCCUUAAAGUGUGGUUUCGAUUUUAAAUUGAUCACUGAACUUUAAAAUUCAAAGUAUUGAUAUUGUAUCAAUUAGACCCUCCCUCUCAUUGGACGUUAAAAUAUUAGCUCUAUUGAUACAGUGUAUCAACAGAGAUCAAGAUGGAGAGGGAAAUGGUGUUCUGGUAGGAAAAUAGAGUCGGACCCCCCUAAUAGAAUGUGUUUGAAAUUACCUAAAUCAUGAGUACAGGAUCCCGAAUCGAGUUAUUAUAUAUUUUAUUUUAUUAUAAUAGUUAUAACUCUUACUUUAUAAUCAUCUUUAUAUUUCAAACUUAUCACCAAAUUUAAAUCAAGUAUUUAAAGGUGAAAGCCAGCUGGAUUGAUGGAUUAACCCCUUUUUUCCCAAAAUAGGCUAACCCCAUUUUAUUUAAAAACAAUUAGGGUUCAACCAAAUGAAACUUCCAAAUCAAACAUUAGAUGAAACUAAUUCUUUUAUCUUUCUAAAGCUAAAAUCCAACAGAAAGAUGUAUGAAUAAUUCCGAAUAAAAAACAAAGGGUAAAUUACACCCAAAAGUACUAAAUUGUUAGUAAAUUUACGUUUUGGUCACUUAAUUUUAAAAAGUUACAAAAUAUCAUUGAACAGUUCAAAAGUUUUCAUUUAAGUCACCAAACUAUAAAAAUUAUUGUUAUAUGACAUUUGUUUGCACCAAUCAAAAGCUCUCCUUCUUUCCCUUCUUUUAUACAACUCAAUAUUUUUUACAUGAAACAAUUUGAACAUUAAGAUUUAGGGUUUAGGGACAAAAGGCGGGAGGAUGGCAAGGGCGUUGGCCUCUCUAAAUGAGAAAUUGCUUCUUUAGACCCCCAAAGAAGUAUAAAAUCUUAAUAUAUGACAAAAUUAUAGUUUCUCCCCAAAAUGCUAAAAUUUCAAUUUAGAUAUUUUGAAAACCAUUAAAAUAUAAGCUAAUACAAUGGUGAAAUUGUAUUUUAGUUCUCAUGUAAAUAUAUAAAUUAAUCUUGGGCUGUUAAAAAAAUUUCUAACCUUGCUCUUGUUGAACGUCAUGAAUUUACAAACUAAAAUCCAAAUAGUUUUAUCCUCCGAUCUCCAACAUUGAUCGUCAGAUUGACUUGAAAUUAAUGUAUGUUAUUUUACUUAUUAAUGAGUAUUAAUCCACUAUAUUAAUCAUCGAAUUGUCGUUCUGAGCUCGUUAACCAAAUUGAAUAAUAAUUAAAUCAACUUGGAUGUAAUUUAUUCUAAAAAUCAUUUGUCAGAAACUUCCAGAUCAAACAUUAGAUGAAACUAAAUCAUUUAUCAUUCUAAAGCUAAAAAUCCAAUAAAAAAUUUAUGAAUAAUGCCAAGUAAAUAUACAAGGAAAGAAUCUAACGGUCAUAGAUAUCCACGAAACAGAAUCCAACGGCUCUGCCAACUUGCCUAGGACCUCUCCAAUCUUCUCCUUCCGCGGAGACCCGGAGCCGCCUCUCUCUCUCACCCAAUUUCUUUGGAACCCCCAAAAACCCCACACCUCAAAUUUCCCCCAGUUUAACCAUAGUUAACUAUCCAAAUAAUAAAAAAGUAAACCAUGGUUAACCACCAACACUCUAUAUAUUCCUCUGGUUAGCUUCUCUUUUUAUUAUUGGCUUCAAUUAUUCUUUUCCUACCAGUCUUUUCAAACACCAUAAUAAACCUUCCUCAUUUCUUGUUCUUAUGCUAAGAGUACAAGGUUUAUCAAAAUGAGCUGCAAUGGCUGUAGAAUUCUUCGAAAAGGUUGCAGUGAAAAUUGUAUGCUUAGACAAAGCUUACAAUGUAUAGAGAACCCACAAGCUCAAGCACACGCCACCGUUUUUGUUGCUAAGUUCUUUGGCCGUGCCGGACUUAUGUCAUUUCUCUCCUCCGUCGCCAGUCCUCAAAGACCUGGUAAUUUUUUAAUGGCUUUUGUUGGAUUUUUGUUUUGGUUUUUGAUUUUUUUUUACUGAUGUGUGUGCAUACAUAUAUAUAUUUGCAGCUUUGUUUCAGUCGCUUUUGUUUGAAGCAGUGGGACGGGCAAUUAAUCCGGUGAGUGGAGCCGUGGGGUUGUUAUGGACAGGGAACUGGAACGUCUGUCAGUCGGCGGUACAAACGGUGCUCCAAGGCGGCACGUUGCAGCCGUUGCCUGAAUUUAGUGGUGGGGUUUCAGGAUCGGAUUUUGAGGAUGUUGGAGAAACGGUCGGUGUUGGUGGCGGCGGCGGCGCUGGGGGGCCGUGUAUCCAGUCGGGAGGUUUCGUUGACGUUGUUGAAUGUAAAGCAUCUGAUCUCAAUCUCUGCCUGAUGAUCGGCGACGAUGAUAGAGCGGUUAAAAGGAGAAGGGAAUCUACAUCGUCGGAAGAGUCCGAAACGACGACGUUGGGAAGCCGGUUUUCUGGAGAUGGUAAUAGUUCAAAUGACAGCUGCGGCGCCGACGGUGAAAGAAAGCUUUUAAGACUGUUCAUUUGAGAGUUUUUUUUUUCUUCUUCACAUUUUGUCUAUGUAAUUUUGAUUAUAAUUGAACGCCUGUAUGAGCUAUGAUCUUUUGUUUCUAUUUUCGGCUAUGAAGGAUGAAGUUCGAUCAAAUUUUAUAAAAUUUCGAAUUUCCCAUAAUUUUCGUAUUAUAAUUUUUGUUUUGCUCCUUCAUUGAUUUCCCAAAAAAUGAAAGAUGUGAGUGAGAAACGUUUAUGCCUUUUAUGGUUCAUGAGUUGCAAGUGAGUGGGCACUACUUCCUAUCGUGAAAUAUGAACAGGAGAAAUUGUAAAACUUGGGGCAAUCUUAAGGGGUGGCUUGGAACGUGAGAUUGCCCUUUGGCUACCCUAAAGAGUCAUUUUUAUUCUACUAUUUUGAAUGGCUUUAAAAGAAUAACUUUUUUCUAUCUAGUAUGAGACUCUUCGAUAUCCUAUACUUUUUGACACGAAAAUUCUUUGAAAUUUUAUAUUUAUUAAAUUCAUAUCGAAUCAAUCCAAGUAGAAAAACAUUAAACUCCUUGUUACAUUGAUUCAACAAUACUAUCAAACUUAUUUUGAUUGUAUUAAGAAUGUCUCGUACAAAACAAGGUCAAACAUUAUAGGUUCUGAUAAUAUAUAUUCUUUUUCUUCCCAAACCAAUAAAUAGGAGGAUAAUGCACUUCAGCCACUCGAACUCACGUUCUCCUACAUUGGUAAUAAUAUCCUUACUAAUCGAACUAAGACUCAACUCACACACAUAAUAACACUUAAAAUAAAAUAAAAUAUAGACUCAUAACUCAAUCAUAAUUAAAACAUGAAGAUAUUAAAAUAUGAAGGUGAACCACUUAAAAUUAACACCAUUAAACAUAAUCAUUUUGGUCUCUUUGUGAAACCACCCUUUGUUGGUUUGGGAUUUGGGGUCCAUUAUACCCAAUAUAUAUAAUAUUGGUGCUGUUAUUUUUCCCCGCAUCAUCACAGUCCACAAAUCAAAAUAAUGGAACCACCUUCCCCAUUUCUCUAUAUCCAUAUUCCAUGGCCGUCCUUUUCUUUCUUUUUUUGUUUGUCUGGAUUAUAAUGCCAAUAGGGUCCCCUUCCUAAUUUAUUUUUCAAUAACUGGAGACAAGGAUAACACGAGUUUCCCAAACUUCAUAGCCUCUCAACAAAUCUUAAAAAUUUCAUGCAAAAUAAUAUAUAUAUAUAUAUAUAGAUAAAUAUAAAAGGACCAUUGAUUUGCUUGGAUGGAGACACCCCUAUGCUGGUGUUGGAGUCUCUUAAAUCUCCACUUGCUUCCAUGUAAGAAAUUGACUUGUGUUGAGCAUCAAAUAUCUUGAAAUUCGGAUCCUGUCUGUAUUUAUAUUCUUUGGACUUUUAAGUAGGGGUUUAAUGAGAAUUUCUAAAAAUUUUGAGGGGUAAGUUAAAAUUUUUAAAGAUUUUGAAGGGGUUAAUGAAAAAAUGUUAAUUUUUUUCUCGUGUUUGAAGAAACAAGAAAUUGUUGCACAAUCCACAGUUACUGUUGCUGCAAAUAUUUGAUAGAUUUGCAUGGAAUAAGAGGAAAGCUGGACAAUCAAGUUGCAAUAUCAAUAGCUAAUAAUCCAAUAUUCCAUGGUAGAACUAAUCACUUCAAAAUAAAAUUUUACUUUCUUCGUGAUGUUCAAAGGGAAGAAGUGUAACUAGUUACAAAAAAUGAAUAUGCUGGUAUUUUCGGACAAGCAUUGCCUAAAGCCAAAUUCGAGUUCUUAAGACAAAAGCUUGGAGUUAAUUUGCAGCUCCAACAUCAAGAAAGAGUGUUAACUUUUAUGAUUUUUGAAGUUGCAUUAGUUAUAAUUUAUCUUUGUCUUUAAGCAAAUAUCAGCCCUUAUUUUUAGGCAAAUAAAAUAGUCAAAAGUCAAUUUAGAUUAUGAUUUGUAGACUUUUCUAAAUUUUAAUUUAAAAUUUUUACUGUAUAAAUAGAUAGUUUGGCAAUUCAAUAAAUAGUAUGAUUUCUACAAAUCCUUUAAAAACUUUCGAAUUCAAAAUGUUUAAAAAAUCCGAAAGCUCUAACUAAAUUUUUAAAACUUUUGGAAGCUUUAAUUAGAAAUUUUAAAAGUUUUGAAGGACCUAAUUAAAAUAUUUAAAAAAUUUGGAAGGCAUAAUGAUGUUGAAUAUGAAUAAGUAUUGUGAAUUGAAUUUUAAAUAUUUAAAUACCACAUAUUAAAUUCAACAAAAUUUCAUUAGCAAUAUUAUUAUUCACUACACCUUAAUUUUCAAAUCAAACUAGUAAAAAGAAAUUAAUUUCAAUUAAUUCCAAAUGUAUAAAAAGUACAGGGAUUAGAUACAUAAUUAAACCUAAUUAUAAAGUUUAAAAUAUGUUGAUGAUCUUCAUAAAAACUUAAAAGCAAGUUUAAGAAUCUUCUUCUCUUAUAUGUUUAUCCACAUAAACAAGUUUUUGCUGCUUUUCUUGCAUAAUUGAACAAAGAAUCAGUAUGUUUGAUUUGUUGGACAAAUUAAAAGAGAAAACCGGGCUUUUAAAUUGUAGCACAUGAUGCAAUAAAGAAACAUGUUCAAAAGGCAAAAGAUAGUAACGGAGGUGGAGGAGGUCAAAAAGAAAACAGAGCAGCCGGUAAAGGCGGCGGCAAUGGCAGGGAAACGCAGCCCGUGUUAGUGGUGGGGGCUUGGGGUUUUAAGUUCCCUAUGCGCCGUAACUUAAACGUGAGUUGUCGCUGACUGGCUACUUUGGUUGUGUAGUCAAGAUACAUUUUAAGUUGUCGCUGUCUUGUCUCCUAUUUUUCUUGCUGUUAGGUGUUCUUCUAGAAAACAAAAUAUUAUUUCUUAAGUGAGUUGCAGACUAGAAGGUUUAGGGUAAAUUAAGAGCUUUUAAAAAAUAUAUAAGUUGGUCAAUAGCUCUGCUUCAACUGGCUUACAUGUUAGAGCGACGAUUGGACAGAUUAUCAAUCACUUUAGAUGAAACGUAAUAGUUGGUGUAGUAAAUGACGAUUGUCGUGUGAGUCCCGCAUGACUUGACAUGAAGAAGUUAUUUUUCGAGAAUUUCUCCGAAAAGUUAUUACAAGAGUUGCUUGUGCUCCGCAUAUGCGAGGAGUUAUUUUAAUAGGCUCGCUCCGAGGGGUGAUUCCGAAGAACGAAAAUCUAACAGGCUUGUCUGAGAAGUAGGGGUAUAACAAUAUGCUAAGUUACUACUAUAAUAUAAUUCAUCAUUCCAAGUAAUAAUUUCAUUAGACAUUGUUGACCAAUACUUCCAAAAUUUGGAAAAGAUUGUGAGUGCGAAAAACUUGAAUCAUUAUAUUUAACAGAUAAAUUAAUAUGACACAAGAAUCAUGUCGUGUAGGAUAGGUUGAUGUUUUUGGUGGACAACAACAUAAUUCUUGUCAAGUAUCUAUAUCAUAUGUAUUGAGAGUUUGACUAAUAUCACUCAUUAAUCGAGUCUUAAUUCAGUUGUGAAUUUACUGUAUUUUUUUUAUAAAGGGUAAAUAUUAUUUUGAGAGUAAUUUCUUUUAUCUUUUUAUGUUUUUAAAACAAAAUUUAUAAAAUACACUCAAAACAUUAUGAAAUUUUUUCUCUAAAUUUUACUAUCUCUACUAAAGAUAUUUAGUAUUUAUAUCAACUUUUUUAUAAAUUUAUUAGAUAACAAUGGUUUUAGCCCAUAUCUUAGGUCAAGUGAAAUUACCAAAAAAUUACUUUUUUACAUGGCAAUAAAUAUUACUUUAAAGACAUUUUUAUAUUUUUAGAUAAAAUUUUUAAAAAUACAUAUAUAUAUAUAAAACAAUAUUAAAAUAAAAAACACCAUGACAUUCACUCCUUUUAACUUCAUCAUUUCAACAAAUUUCAUAUUUAAUUUUUAUAUUAACUUUUGAAAAUUUUAUUACAUAAUUGGUUAUGAAUUUGUUCGAAUCAUAGUUUGGUAAUAGUAUCAUUUUUUACACAUAUUUUAUUAUAUAGGUUAGCAAUAAACUAAUUUAAUUAGUAAUAUUUAAUCAUUCCGGUGACUUUUUUUUAAUGAAGAGAAAGAAAUUUUUCACUUAUUUCGAAAAAGUUUUAUUUUUUACAAGAGUUAUUACUCAUGUUUCUAAUUUUAAGUUUAAAUUUGUACUAACUAUUAAUUUAUUUUAUAUCUAUUACAUAUGUAAUAAAUAAUUUUUUCGUAUAUUAUUACACUAGUAACUAAACGAGGUAUGAUGUUAAUCUAACUCCUCCAAUAAUUUACCCUUCAUAUUUUAAAAUGAUGUUUUUUUUUUGGUAUAAUGAUUUAUUUAGCUUUCGAAGUUUAAAAAAAUUCAUUGUUCUUAAUUUAAUUUUUUGUCUCUUUUUAACCGUUGAACUUAUAAUAUUUGUCAAAUCAUUCCAAAAUUAAUGGAUAAGAUAUCCACGUGGUCCACGUGUAUUAAUAAUUAUAUAUUUUUAUAAUAUUAAUAAAUAUAUUUUUUUUAAUUUUUUUUUAAAAACGAUUAAUUAUUAACAUGACAUGCACAUGUAUGCCACAUCAAUAAAGUUGUUAGACGUUAAUUUUUUCAUUCAUUUUAAGAUAAUUUGACAAACAACACAAAUUUAAAUGCUAAAAAAUAAAAAAAUAAAAUUAUUAUUUUAUAAAAUUUAAAAAUUAAAUAAAUCGUUAUCGCUUUUUUUAUAUUAGUAUAUAUUCAUUUUACUAUUUAUAUUUUCAAAUCCAGUAAUUUCGUAAAAGAUGAAAAUGCACACUGUUCUAUAGUAUCAUAACAUUACAAGUUGCAACUGGAACAGAGCUUGCUCCACUGAAAACACCAGGGUUAUGUUGGGAAACAUUGAAUGUGGUAAUAAAAGAAAUCAUGAACUAGAAUUUUGGUAAUGUCAGCCCCUAUCAGCAUGCCUCUCGUGAUUCUCCAUGAUUCAUGAACGCAGUACGUUCAUGUCAGAUGCACGGCAUGAGAUACACGUUAAUUGUAUUAUUUUGUUAAUUAGACUAAUUUUUAACAGAAACGACUAAUUUAAUUUUUAAUAUAAUAUUUUGAGACUAAUUUGUUAUUUUUGUAUAAAUUAAAAUAAAAUAUAAUCUAAUUCCAAGACAGAAAAAGACAAAAUAAACCAUGGGUCAUAGCUUCAUGAUGAAGAAAGUUCAUUCAAUUCCAUUUGGUGCACUGAAUCUUGAUUACAAUCACACAACAUCAACGUGAAUGCAGUUAAUAUGAAUAUAAGGAUAAAAAUGGAAAUGGGGACUGUAUCUAUAAGUUGAACAAGCAUCAACAAACAUUAUACAUAGAUGAUUAAAUCAAACCAGGCCAAGAAAAUACAAUGAUAUUUUUGGUUAUUAAAAUAUUUACAUAUACAAUGCUUUUUUCCUUUGCAAGUAUGCAGAAAUCAGUUGAAAAGGAAAAGCCACAUUCUAAAAUGAGAAACCCGAACCUAACUAUAUUCGAUCCGCUCGUGUUUUGUCCAGUGACCGCAUCCAGACAUCAGAAAAAACAUUGAGUUUGAAUGUAAUGUUAGGAUUUACGGUGAGUAGUCAAAUAAAGAUCAGUUCUAUGCAUGUGUUGUCAAGCAGCCGGUAGUGGGUACACGGUUUAGUAGUAUUAUAUGUGACCUCAAGCUACAUUCGUUAACCUAAUUGAAAAAAAUGGACCUUUAAUGAUAAGCAACAAUGAGCAGAUCAAGUGCAGAAUAGUUUGGAAUGUAAAACGGAAUGUCGUAAUUACCUGGAUGGCAGCUAGCGUGGACAAAUGUUCUUUACAUUGUUCGAGCAAAAUCCUUUCGUUUGUGGCCACACUCACGAGUUCGUUCACCAAAGAAUUCAUUUCCUUCACCUGCAAAGGACAAAUGGUACUGUUAAUUUGGAAGGUUUGAUUUGCCACUUUUAUGAAAUGCAAAUUCGGGUGGAAUAUAAAUAAGCAUGAGGAUUUUCUUCUGUCCGGUGGUAUUCGUUACAGCUCUUUUUUUUUUUGGUAACGCUAACCUUUGAUGAUAAUGAGCAUAUUGAGGAUGCCAUUGCGUGCAUCACAUCAACCGCUGAACCGACGGCAUCCUUCAGAUUCUGGAUGUCUACCUAUUAAGAGAGAAAAACGGAUUGUCAUAAGAGGAAGAAUUAACAGAUUGUAUAUUCAAAUGCAGAGAAAAACGGGAAAAAGGAAGAAACUUACUAUCGCUUUUCCAACAAUUGGAAGACGAAGAGUACUGGCCUUUAAAGCUUCAGUUGCUCCUAGAAAAGAACUCGAGUGAUCUCUAUCGAGGACUGCCCACGCUUCUAAAUGAGCUAUCUACAGUCGUCAAUCGUAACAAGUUUUAGUCAUGACGAAGAGUCAAAUUUAUCCGUCUUGAUUAGGACCAACCAAUAUUCGCUAACUACUAAUGUGGUGAUAAAAGUGAACGGUGAUUGCUUCUAAAGCAUGUUUCUAAAGGGAUUGGUAAAGCCCGAGUCAAUGUAUGUAUGGUCAAGCAGCCCCCUUAAACCCUUGCAGAAAGCUUAAAAUUUCCUCGUUAUAAUACCCAAGUCCCGGUUUUGAUAAUUUCGUUCUCAUCAAAUAGUAUUUCUAAAAGUAGUGCUUUUUUACUUUCAUCAAUUGAGACCGAUGCAGCAUGUGGUUUCUUCUGGACUAAGCAAAGCAUGGAUACAGACAUAAAUAACAUGUUCUAUAUGAUAAAUACGAAGAAAGUAAAAAUAGAAGCAGUUGUAUCUAUGAAAAGAUCUACACAAUUCGAUGCUUAAAUGAAGUCGAAGUUUCGGAUCUUACUUGUCCCUUCAGGAUGGAAGUCAGUUUCAACUUUUGCCUCAGUAAUAGAAACUUCAUUCUCUUAAGAGUGAUGGAAUGCAGCAGUUCCGAUAUUGUUACCCACACAUUCCACAGAUUUUUCUGCUACAAAAGAAGGAACAUUCACCAUGAACAUACCGGACUUAUUAGAGAGCAUCACGAAAGUGAUAACCCCAAAUUCACAAAUUUAUUUUCCGAACCGGCUAUUGCAUAGAAAACCUAGCCAUUCAUGCUCAUUGUAUAGCAAAACCCUGCAGCUCAACUUUAGUACUAGCUCAUAUUAUUAGCAAGUAACGAAACUAACCAAUCAUUAAUCGCAUUUACCAUUCAAAAACAUGACCAUUAUAUGCAAGAACUAUGCUGUCACUUGCAGUACAAGUAAUCUUUAUAGUAAAAUAGUUGGGUUCGGCUUGUUUGACAAACUAUUACAAUGAAGUAAAUCGAAAAAUUCAUCAUCGAACAUCUUUGGCAACAACAAGAUGGACAAGGAGGAUUAACCAUACCUCUGCACUGAGUUCCUGCACCAUGAAAGUAGCUUCGGCCCUUGCAUUCGCGAAUCUCCAUUGCAAAUAACGGUUAUAAAGAAGUCUCAACGUGUGUGCAUCGACAAUCCGAUCCUCCCCCAUUCUCCCUCUCCGAAUAUCAGCAGAAAAGCUGAGAAUUGAAGGAGAAUUAACCGAAUUACCAAGCAUCUGACCACCACCAACUGCAUUUCUCACCCGAGCAGGACUUAGCCCCCUUAAAGGAGACGAAGCCGAAGACGUCCAAAGCUUACUAGGAGAAGCAGGUCUAGUACUACCUAAACUUUUUGGAGCACUGAUUCUAGACCCGGGGCUCGUAAACAACGGUGAACCUGGAUCCUGCAACUGCCUUAACCGGCUAUUCGUUUCUUGCCAAAACCGAGCAGAUACAAGGAUAUUAUGGGAACCAUUCCUCCCUUUGGAAACCCCAUUUCCUCCAUUGGUGCUACCAGAUGACACACUAUCAGUAUCAGAUGCAGUGAGAUCAUAAGAAACCUCAUUUACAUAAUUGGCAUCAAGCAUUAAUGAUUGUUGCAAUGACUUAACCAUCACUGCACCAGAUCCGAGCAUUUUCCUUUCACCAUAACAAUCCAAGCUCCUCGACAGCGGAUUCGAACCCGAACCCGAACCCGAAUUCGAAUUCCCUUCCCGGGUUCUCCCCGGCCAACGGUGCCGAUCCACCGGUUUUGAGUUCUCAGCGUGAUCUCUCACUGGAGUAGUUUUACGCCUCUCGGGAGUUACUGCUUUCCUAGUACAACCCACUUGGGGCUUAGCCUUACUAACCGGAAUCGAAAACGACUCACCUUGAAACGAAACGGAUAAGCUCCUCGAUGAAGUGAUUAACAUCUUGGUAGCAGCUGAUAAUUCAGUGGACACCUGGUCACCAGGCCGCCUCCGGUCCACGGAUUGAGACCGUUUAGGAAGCACCGUCGCCGUUUUAUUCCCCGUCGUCGCCACCGCUGUCGUAUUAGUAGAACGGGAAAGAAGAGGAGAAGGGAAUCUCGUCGGCAACUUGGCUGCUGCUGCCGCCGCCAUUGUUGUUGCCGCUGAAGAAGAAGGAGACAAGUACCGUGAAGGAACUUGUCUACCUCUGGGUUUUCUUUUAACGGUGGAGCCAUUAUCGUUAAGAGGAGACCAUUUUUUCGGGGUGUCUUCGUGAUGGGUACUUUCUGGGGGAGUUUGUGAAUGAGAAAAUGCAGCCACCAUCAUCAUUAGAGACUGCCAAAAAGGAAAUUAAUCUUCUCUUCUACAUUUCCUUGGAAAGAAAAUUCUCAGUAUUAACAACCAUGGGUCUUCCUUUUCAUGGCUGAUAAACCUGAAAAAUAAUCAAAAUAUACAAGAUUUUAAGCAAUUCUCACGAUAAUGGAGAAGAACCCAUAAAGGGAUUCCAAAUGAUUCUGCAUUUAAACUCCAAUAGCAGUGAAAAACCCACAAAGAUUUUCUGGGUUUUCUAAGAUACUGAAGAAAAUAGUAUGUAUGAGGUGAGAUUUGGAAGAAGAAAAACUAAAAAAAGAGUUCUUAUGAAUCUUUGGAAAGAUGUUUAGGUUAAUUAGUUAUUCAUAAAUUAUAUUUGAGUUCUAAUGAAUUGAAAGCAUUAUAAAUGAAACUUUAUGGUGUAAAAUCAUAUAGAAAUCCAUUCAGAAACUGAUUAUAAAAUAAUAAACUUGCUUCUUCUUUUUCCCUUAAUUUUUCAGAUUUCUCGAUAAAUCAAUCUCAUAACUAUUUCAGGUUAACUGUCCCCAUUCCCAUUCUUUAAAAACUUGAAUACAUUUUAUUCUUUUGAAAUUAAUUAGUAUUGGGUAUGGUAGGUACAUCAAUUGAAUACUUAUGUUUACAAUGUUUGAUGCAAUUACUUGGUUUUUGGUUUAUAUUUUAAUCGUUUAAUUUUAAAAAGUUAAAAAAUAAUUAUUAAAUUAUUUGAAAUUUUUAUUUAAAUCACCAAAUUAUUAAAAUUGUUAUUGUAUGACCUUUUUUAUUUGCACCGCAUGCACCAAUCGAAAGUUUUCAUUCCCUUUUUCUUCUAUAGUUUAGUAUUUUUUUUUUAUAAAACAAGUUUGAACGUCACGAAUCUGCAAAGCAAAAUCAAAACAGUUUUCCUCUCCGAUCUUCUGCAUUGACCACCAAAUCGACUUGGAGUUAAGGUAUGUUCUUCUAUUCGUUGAUGGGUACUUAUCCAUCGUACCGAUCGUCGAAUCAUUACUUGGAGCUCACUAGCCUGGCUUAUGAAAAAAAAAAACUCAACACUCCGGUGACUUAAAUGAAGACUCUUGAAUAGUUUAGUAACUAUUUUAUAACAUUUUGAACUUAAGUGAACCUUAACAUAUAUUUACUAAUAAUUUAAUAUUUUUGGGUGUAGUUUACCCUUACAAAAUAACAAUGUAUCAAAUAUAAAAUAGACAGAUCUCAAAAUUAUACAUGAACUUUGAUUUUGUGUAAUUAUACAGACGAAAUUUUGAUCGUGGUUCAAAUGCAUAAAUGAAACUUUGAUUUUAAUUCAAUUAUAAAUAUUUAAAGAAACGAAGAAAUCGAUAUAUUUUUAUAUUGGAUAAAUUCAAUUGUCUGUGUAUGCAAUAUAAAUAUAAAAUGAUGAUAUAUCGAUAAUUAUAUUAAAAGUUUGUAAAAAUUAUAUCAGAUUAAAAUUUCAUGUAUAAAAUUAUAUAUUAAAUUAAAAUUUAUAUAAAAUUAUAAAAUAAUGAGAAUAUAUAAUCUUAUUAUUAUAAGUAUGAAAUAGAAGAGAUAAAUGAUGAAUGCCAAUGUUAUAUUUUACAACUUUUUGUAUAAAAUCUCUAAAAGUAAAAUUAUAUGAAUAUGAAGAUGACCUUUCAAAAUUAAAUUUUUGUUUUCUUUUUUGUAGUACAAAAAUUGAGUACUUUUCAAUCACAUUAAGCAACUAUCUACUUCUUCAAUUUGAAGCAUACAUCAAUGAGGACCAUGAAUUAUUUAGGGAAAAAAUUAUAAAUAUUAAAAUUACACAUUAAUUUCAGUUUAAUGUGUAAUUUGAUAUAUAAAAUUUAAUCUGAUAUAAUUAUACACGUAAAUUUUUUUAUCAUGAUUUAUAUAUACACAAUCAAAAUUUUGUUUUGAUUUCAAAAACGUUGAUGAUGUUAUUAGCCUUUUGUGAAAAUUGAAUCAAAUUACACAAAAUCAAAGUUCAUGUAUGGCAUUACACGUUGAACUGAAAUUUUUUAUAUAGUUUUUUUAUAUUUACCCAUUAGUUAUAAAAUGUAAGUUUUGUUAUUUAAAUUUUUUUUUUACAUUCUCAUAGUUAAAUUUGGAUGAGACUGGACCUAAAUUUAAAAUAUCAUGUUUACAAGUUUGAUCUAAUUUGAACCGAAUAAACAUAGGUGAAGCUAGAAAAAAAAUUUAGGGGAGGCUAGAUUUAGGUUAUGCAUUUUUUAUGAGAGUUGAAAUGUAAUUUCAUCAUUGUAUUAAAUUAUAUUUUUCUUAAUUUUUUAAACAAUUAAAUUAAUUUUUUAUUAUUUUGGGGGUCAAAAUACAAUUUAACUAUUUAUUAACUUAUAAUUUAUAAACUUUAUAGGGCCAAAAAUGUUAUAUUCUUAUUUUAGGAGGCCCUCGCUUUGGCACCUGCCACCUCCUCAACAUCACCCCAGUCAAUGAAUAUCCUGACCAUUAAACAUGUUUAAUUUUAAAUCGAACAAUAAAUCAUAAAAAAAUAACAACUAUUUACAGUCCAAUAAAAUAUAAUUAUUAGAAUUUAAAUUUGAAAUGUAUUAAUUAAUAUCUUUUAAAAAUAAUUUUACAAACCAACUAAUUUAACCUAUGAAAAUAAAAAGCACAAAUCUUUGUAUUAAUGUUACAUUAACUUGAUUAAAAGGUUGAACAAUUUAAGCAAAGGAGGGACAUGAAUGAGCUACCCCCCAUGAAAAGAGCUUCCAAGCAGCUGAGGUUGAUGCAAGUAACUGAGCCCUUGUAUUAUUUUUUUUACUAUUGUUCACGUGUUUACAUUUGAUUGACUUAAACAGUCACGUGAGAUUUAUUUUUAAUGCAAAUGGGGGCUAACAUGAUGGAUGGAAUAAAAGUAAUGAACGUAAAGUGAUAAAAAAAAUGUAGUAAAAGGGCCAAAGUAAAAAAUUCACUAUAAUACAAGGGCUAAAAUAAGCAUUAACCCAUUUAAGAAAAAAAUUUAUUAAAAAGAAGGAAUGGGAUUGUGAUUAUUGCAAGCAAAGCUAUAACCCAUUUGUUAAUUUUAGUUUAAUAUAAGAUGGAAUGUCUCUAUUUCUCUCUCUCAAUCUCUAUUCUUCCUUCCUUCCAACUCUUUUUUUAAUUAUUUUUCCCCUUUUUUUUAAGUUUCUAAUAUGUCAACUUAUCCUUCUGUUGUCAUUUUAUAUAUAUUAAUUUUCAUUAUUCAACUUUAAAAAGUUACAAAAUAGUCACUAAAUUAUUUAAAAUUUUUUAUUUAAGUCAUUGACCUAUUAAAUUUUUUUAAAAGUUCGGCUGAUGAGCUCCAAGCGACAAUUUGACGAUUGGUAUGGUGGAUUAGUGCCCAUCGACAAUGAAGAACAUAUAUUAGAUCUAAGUUGAGCGGACGGUCAGUGUUGGAGAUCGGAGAAAAAAGUUGUUUUAAUUUGGGUUCGCAAAUUCAUGACGUUAAAGAUUGUUUCAUAAUAAUAAAAAAUAUAUACUAUAGAAGAAAAGAAGAAGGAGAACUUUCGGUUAGUGCAUGUGGUGUGAAUAGAGAAGGCUAAACAAUAACGAUUUCAAUAGUUUGAUAACUUAAACGAAAACUUUCGAAUAGUUCAGUGACCAAAAUAUACAUUCUAAUAGUUUACUAACUUUAAUUUACCCGGAAGAUAUUAAUAUAAAAAAUAUAAGUUAUAUAUAAAAUAAAUAUAUACUCCAUAUAUGUAUGAAAGUUGAAACCCAAGGAAGUGAAAAACAAUGAUAUUAGUCAACUAUAAGAAAAUAUAGGAAAGGUGGUGGGUCGUUUAUUUGAUUGUUCCACACUUGUAAUCAUAUGAAAAUGACCCAAGCAAAAUGCUUAAAUUAUUAUUUUUAUAAUUAUUUAUUAAAAAAAAUGGGUGUUAUGAUCCAUAUGUCUAAAAACAAAUAGAAGUUUCUGCUUUGCUGCUGGGUUUACAUCAAAGCCCUUUUUAUAUAAACAUUCUUUUACAUUUUUAAUUCCCUUAUAUUCUGGAAAAUAUAUGAAGUUUAUGAACUAAUAUUUUGUUAUCAUCUACUUUAAUUUGGAUAGUAACGAUGGUGGUAUCAAAUAUUAUUAGUUUUAUUCGAGAAAUUUUUGAAGUGUUAUUCACUUAGACGAAUGCUAUUAUUCCCGAUCAAGGUUUUCUUGGUAGUAUAGUUGCGCAUACUCUUAUAUGCUCACAAUUUCUUGGUAGGCUCAAGCACUCGGCUCUUGUCAAAGUAAAGACAAAGCUGUGACGGAUUAUAAUUAAAUUGGAACUAUUGAUGAAUUUUUAAAUUUAACCAUUGAAAAAAAUGAAAGGGAGGUUGCAACUGAAGAAGGGAAAGAAAAGGAAAAAAAAGGGUGAAGGCGUGAAUGAGAACACACACAUUCAUGAUUAAACCAAAUGCAUGAUUAAACUAAUUAACCAACAAUUAGACUUUCUAAUUAGAGGCUGUUAAGACUUUGUAAUUGGUCAGCUGACUUUAGCUUGCAAUUUCGUCAGCAAAUUGUUGAUGUUGUUAAGCUAUGACUUACGAAAUGAUGGUGGCUAGAUGAAGGAUGAAAACUUUUCAAACAUUGCAGCCAUGUGGCAUAGAAUAAUUGGUUUGGAAAUGAAAAAGACGUCAUCAUCCACUAAGUCAUGUUCUAAUUUGUUUGUUUAUUUUGGCGUUGUAUCAGUCUAACCAACUUUCUAAGUGAUUACAUACCUGUGAAAUGAAAAUGAUUGUUGUUGCUUUCCAACUAUGCUUCUCUUUUCCACUUUCGCCUCACGGUAUCAGAAUACAAAUUAUUCGAGUUUGAUUCGAAAAAAACUCAAAUCCCAUUCAAUAACUAUCAAACCAAGCUUAAACUAUCAUACUUGAUCUCGAGUACGCAAAUUGAUACACAAGUUUAACUAAACUCAAGUAGUUCAAUUAUGUCUCAAACAAAAUUUAAGCUUAAAAAUUAAUGUUUGAUCAAGCAUGAGCUUACAAAUAUUGAACCGAAUUUUGGCUCGAUUACAUCCUAUUAUUAUGACUCUUUUAGAGGAUCCCAAUUAAAUCUGGAGCCAAACUCAAUCAAACUCAACUCAAUUUUCUACAUUCAUCUAAAGUCUUAAAAAAAACAUUCGUCUCCACCCGAUUUAAACAAACAUGGGUUCAUUCGUUUCUUCUUUGAUCUUUCUUUCCUACCAUUCAAGCAAAACCCAAGACUAUUUUACUGAUUCCGCAUGCGCAAAAGCAUGUAUCUUAGUUUAUUUAUGCCAUUGUUCUAUGGCACCACCUGUCUUGGGAUCUAAGAUACAAAAUAAAUAACAAACAUGUUUUUAAAAAGGAUUUAAUUUAAAAAAAAAAUCAUUCAUCUUCACAUCUCAACUAAAUAAUUGUGAUUGGUUACCAACAAAUUUCACCACGUGCUUUUAAUUCGAUUUCUAACCUUUAAAAAGAGACAAUAACACAAACAAGAUUAAAGACAAAGGUUUGGUCUGAAUCAGUGUAGGAAUUUAAAGAACAUCUAAGGGAAGAAAGCCAAUUUGACAAUUAUUUGAACCAUUGUUAAGCAUAAAUUCUAUCAUGAAGAAAGGUACAGAGAGGGUACAAAAGAUAACUUGAAGAUGAAGGAACUUAAUGAAGGAAGUUGGUGAAAUAGACAAUUUGCAGAUACCCUUUUUUUGCUAGUUGUUGAACUCACUUUUAAAUCUUGUCAACUUCUAUAUAUAUAUAUGAAAACAUGACCUCAUCUCUCACUGAAUAUCACACAAAGAACUUUGUUAAGCAACAUCUUAACAGGAGAAGUUGAUAUCUUAGCUCUCUUACAAGGAGUAUUCUAUGUUUAAGACAUAUUGCCUACUGUUUAGGAAAAAAAAGGGACCAUUAUGCAUAAAUAAACUUAAAAGCUAAGUUAUGGUGCAAUAGGGUAGCAUUACAAACCUAUUAUAAACGUGCUAUAGAGGCCCACAAGUUAAGUAAACUUCUAGAUUAAAUUGGGAUUUUACAAUCCCUCUGUUCUCUAAUGAGAGACCUUGGAUGACCCAAGAGAAAAUGAUUCUAACAUGCAUGAACCAUACUAAAACCGAAUCGCCCAAAGCAAUAGCAUAUUUUACAUAAAGACUACAAUUUUGACGGUUUCAAUGAGUAACUAAUAACUGCUAAAUGCUAAUCGUUUUUCGAAUAUCAAAUGUGACAGUAAGACUUCAGAACCAUACAUUCUGUGGGUUUUAAGGAAUAAAUAAUUUAAGCCAGCAUCUUAAUUCCAUUUAGAGAACACAGGAAAUGCCAAUAACCAACAAGAUCAUCACCUUGCAAGGACAAUCAAUAAGCACACUUAACAAUAUGCAGUCACUCCAUGGACCAUACUAAUCAAACGCCUUUAACACCAUAACAAGACCAAACAAUAAGACUUCAAAACUAUAUGUACUGUGGUUUUUAAUGAAUAAACUACGUAAGCCAACAUCUAAAUCCAUUUAGAGAACACAUAAAAUGCCAAUAAUCAACAGGAUCAUCACAUUGCAUAGACAAUAAGCACACUUAACAAUAUGCAGCCAUUCCAUGGACCAUACUAAUCAAAGUCCUUUAACACCAUAGCCUAUGACCAAAUAUGACAAUAAGACUUCAGAACCAUACAUUCUGUGGUUUUUAAUGAAUAAACAAUUUAAGCCAACAUCUUAAUUCCAUUUAGAGAACACAUGAAAUGCCAAUAAUCAACAAGAUCAUCACAUUGCAAUGACAAUCAAUAAGCGCACUUAACAAUAAAGAAAAUACCAAAUUAAACCAGUAUGAUUACUUCAUUGAGGAACCACAAAGUAUUCUUAGUUCAACAAUCACUUUGGUAAUUCACCAAAACAAAACAGCAUCUUGUUCUUUCAAAUUCAAAAAAAUAAAAAUACUAACAUACUACAGAAGGCUCAUAGAGGGACAAAGUCCUUCCUACUUUACACCAUACAAAAUUCUUCAACGGUACUGCAAAGGAAAAAAAGACAAGAAAACACCCAAGUUUAAGAAACUGUUGAUAUGAACAAUUAUGAAGAUUGAAGAUUAAGAUAACGUUAACCAUCAAAAGAGUAAUACCUUGAUGAAUCCGAUUUCCUUGGCAUUGCUACGGAAGCACUGCCUGCAACACAUGAGACCGUACUUCCUGAUGAUGGCAUGGGGGUUCCCACAAACACGGCUAUCAAAACAAAACAAAACAAAACAAACAACCCUAAGUCAUUGUAACAUAAUAAAACACAACAAGACAAUAACAGAUUUGACAAAAGCCUAAGAUGCUACUACUCUCACAUUUAUUACUAAUAAUCUCGAACAAAGCAAAUUCCCAGCCACUAACACUUAUAUGCAAAAAUAAAAUUGCUACAUCGUUCGAUUAGGUAUCGAAGAAAUCAACAACCUAAAUUUUGAUUUCAUUCCGUUGUACUACUAUAUGCCUAAAAUAAAACAUCAGUCGGAAAACUAGUAAUACAUGCUAAGGAGUUAACAAAAAUAGCUCUUGGGAAUUUUGCAAUGCAAUGCAAUGCAAAAAAAAAAAACAGAGAGAGAUGAAACAGUUACCAGGCGCGAGAGCCAGGGCCGUAGGUUUGGGGGUGAGAGUUCCAGACGUUAGAGUGACCCAUGAUUGCUCUGAAAAUGCGAGAGAAAUGAGACUGGAAUUGAAAACCCUAGAUUUCACGGAGGUGUUUGGAUCAUUUAGAAAAUGAUUAUAUAUAUGCGGAGCCUAAAACCCUAGUUUCCGAAUUAAGCGGGGCCCCGAUUUGCUGACCCGUAUACAGCUGUGGGUUUGAUUGUUCCAUAAAAGCCUAUUUAGGCCCAAUAACAUCUCCUGGCCAAACUAGUUUAUAAAUGGCCCAAUAAUAUGAUUAAAUUAAAGAUGAUAUAUAAAUGAUUUAAAUUGAAGUUGCAUUUUUAAAUCGGAAAAACACAUUAUUUAAUUAAAAAACAUAGGGUAAACUAUAUUAUUAGUUACUAAAUUAUGAUUAAGUUUUAUUUUUAGUCACUUAACUAAAAAAAGUUACAAAUUGGUGACUGAAUUAUUCUAAAGUUUUCAUUUAAGUUUUUAAACCGUUAAAAUCGAUGUUAUAUGGCUUUCUCUGUUCGAAAUAACUAAACCAGUUGGAAGCUCUCUUCCCCCUUCUCAUCUACAGUUUAGUUUUUGUCAUGAAAUAACUUUGGACAUCAUGAAUAUGCAAACCGAAAUUCAAACAACUUUUUUCUCUAAUAUCUGACAUUGACCGUUAGAUCGACUUGGAUUUAAGGGAUGCUCUUCUACUCAUUGAUUGGUACUAAUCUACCGAACUGAUCGUCAAAUCGUCACUUGGAGCUCACUGACGGAACUUUUUUUAAGAAAAAGCUUAAUAGCUCAAUGACUUAGAUAAAAACUUUUGUAUAGUUUAGUGACUUAAAUGAAAACUUUUGAAUGGUUUAGUGAUCAAGUUGUAACUUUUUUUAGUUAAAUGAUCAAAAUGAAAAUUUAACCAUAAUUUAGUGACUAAGGGUAGAAUGUACCCAAAAAUAAAAGCAUGGAACUAAAUUGAAGGAUAUUUUAACCCUAAAAGACUCGUCUUUUGCUGGCAGGCUUCAUGGCGAACCGAGCGGGCUCUUCAUCGUCACGCCUGGUAACCAUUGAUUUCAUCACUAAUUGAUCUCUAAAUACAGCUUCACUUGAAAAAUAACCAUCGACACAUUUGUUCUUUAACACUUCUGCAACUAUUCUGCUACUGAAUUUUCUUGAGCAUUCCAUUUCCCAGUAGUUUCUUCCAUUUUCACUAGUUUUUUUUUUUAAUUCAUUUGCGUUUUCAGGAAACCCUUCACGAAGAAGAUGAUUACGACUCAUACGGCGCCGAAUCAGGAUGGGUGGAAGCUAAAACGCACUGUGAUCACUUGCCUUCCCUAUCUUCUGAUCUCACUCACAUUCCAAUCCCUAGCACUCCCUGCAGCAGGUCAUUAUCCCCUAUGUUUUUUGAAUUCUAUAAUUCUUGUUAAACUUCUUUAAUUCAUGUCCUUGUUUGGUUGAUUAUUUUGAUACUUCUAAUAAAAAAUUGGGUUUAGACAUUUAGUUUUGUAACAUAUUUGCAGUUAAUUUUUUGGCUUAAUUGCCUAUACCUGAAGUGAUCUUCUGAUUCAUAUUGAGGGACUAUUAAUAAUUGGCGAAUCUAGGAAUACAUGGUUAAGGGGAUCCAAGAUUAAAUUAUAAAUUUUUGUGUUAAAUUGAAUCAUUAAGCUUUUAGAAUAGCUAAAAUGCAAUUUUUAUAUUUUAAUCAAGGGAGGCUAAGGUCCUGCCUAUGGCAUGUAAAUGAGAUACCAGUGCUUAUAAGGGAUUCGAGUUCAACUUGAAAAUUUUGAAUUCAAUUUGGUAUUUAUAGAGUGAGCUCAAGCUUGCUAUCAAUCAAGCCAGCAAAAUUUGAGCAUUUUAAUACUCAAUUCAAAUGGAUCAUGAGCCUAAUCGAGUUUUCUUUUUUAGUACAUUUUUAUAUUAUCAUGUAGAAAGAGCUUAACUCCGAACAAGCUUAAUCAAGCUAGAGUUCGAGCUUGAAUACGAAAAUUGAUCAACAAGCUUAGUUUAAGCUCAAGCUUGAGUUUAGAAAUUCAUGUUCAAGUUGAGCUUGAGACAAGUAUUGAGUCCUGAACUUUGAGUCGAGUUUGAGCUUGAACUUGUCACUAAUCGAGUUCUGCUUGACUCGAUUACACCUGUAGGCCCCUGCUUGCCCUCCUUUGCAUCCACCUCUGCUAUUAGUAUUUUAAGUAAUUGAGCUACUAAAACAUCUCUGAAGUUUGCAUUUUUAGGAUUCUUUAAUGUAGAUUUUUAGGGCAAGAUCAUACGAAUUCAUUAUCCUAAUCUUACAAAACAUUUUAUGCAUACAAGGUGCCAGCACCCAAGUGAGAAUUGGUUAUGCUUGUCCUGCAAAGUUGUGCUUUGUAGCCGUUUUGUGAAUAAGCAUAUGCUUGAGCAUUAUCAGCAAACAACCCAUUCCAUAGCGCUCAGUUUUAGGUAUGUAGUUAUAAUUGCCUUCUUUUUUAACUUCCCAUUUUGCUAUAUAUUUGUUGCUCGAGAAAGAGAAAGUAUCUACGGAAGUUUUUCUCGGUAACUUCUUUUUUCUUGGUUGUGUGAAUCCAGUGACCUGUCAGUUUGGUGUUUUGCUUGUGAUUCUUAUCUCGAUGCUCAAUUGAUUCAGCAACUGCGACCUUUUCAUGAGACAGCUUACAUAUUGAAAUUUGGUCAAGCCCCUCCUUUUCGGUCUGUUGAAUCUUCUCGGGUGGAAGAUAAACCGGCCAUGGAUGUGCCAUCAAGCAGUUGAAUCUGGUAUGGUUUUUAGACCGAAGGGCUGUAAUGGCAAAAGAAGGCUAGUUUGGAAUUGAAUCAAACAAUAAAUUAGUUGAAUUUAAUUAUAUGAGUUCUGUUCUAUGCAUACUGAUGGCUAGAAAUAGAUGGCUUUUUCAGGUUCAUAUUGCCUCUUCCAAAUACAAAACCACAUAUAUUUACUCAGUCUAGGUUAAGGCAGAGAAAAUUUUGCAUACCUUAUUCAGCUGUUGAGAUCUUGCUGCCCUUAUGAAUUGUUUCAAUCUCAACACAUUUAAUAAUUUACACAAACAUUUGAUCUUCUGCCCAUAUAAAUUUACUCAGUCUAGGUUUUUAUCUGAAUUGUUCUUUGAUAUUGAAUAAGUCUUCAUUAGACGACCAGGCAUUCUGUUACACAGAAUUUGCUGCCAUGUCAUAGACCUUGUAUUACUAAGGUAACCUGUGUGUUUCGGUUGUCGAGCAUUUGUUCAAGUUUCACUAAUGCACCUGCAUUCGUGUAGACGGAUUAUUUUCCGAUAGGGUAGUGAGUUCCCUCGGAAUGGAUCCCUGUUAGAUUUUUGUUUAGAUGAUUGUCUGAUAGAUUCGAGCACGACAACUUAUCGAUGUUUAAGUUAGGGGAAUCUCAGUGACUUAUGUGAAAGAUACAAAUCCAUGAUUGAACACAAACAUUAAGUUUGCACGAAAAAAAUCAGCUAGUGAGUUUUUUACAGGCUUGUGAAAGAGAAUUUAAGAUAAAUUAUAGAGUACCAAGAUACAACAUAGAUAGAUGAUAUGCAUUACAAGCUGUCUUGACAUCUCCGUUCUUUCUGUGGAGUUUCGAUGUUUAUUUUUUAAGAUGAGGAAAGCACGCGUACACGUCGGACUUUGGAUGCUUCGCCUCAGCGUGCUCCCGGCAUUUCACUUCCGUUGUGGUACACAUGAAUGUUUGCAUACACACCUUGCACUGUUUUCAGGCACCAUCAUAAACCAGUUAUGUUAUCAGAGGAAACCCAAGCAAAGGACGACAAUGAUAUGAACAAGAAACCAAAACCCGAGUCAUGUAUCUGAUAAUGUAGUUCAAUGUGUCUAAAUUCAUUUUGACAGUAUCAACUAGUGAUGUAACAUGAUGAAUGUUCGAAGUUAAGAAAUGUUAUUUCUGGAAUUCUCAAGUGCAUUUAUUACCAAAUUCCACUCAAACAGAACACUAGAAAGGCAGUUUUUGCAAUCAAUGAUUACUUAUAAGAAUUUUAGGAAGGCUCAGACAAUCAUACAAAUUCUUCUCAUCAAUAUUUGUAACUUGAGAAAGUUCAUGCAAGAGAAGCUUAAAUUCAAGUAUUGUGUCUGCUCGUGGUUUUCUUCAAUGGAAGAUGUAGAGAAAAGGCCAAUUCCUCCCUAAAAUGUCUUCCAAGUGUCAUCUGUUGGGAGUCGAUAAAUCCCUCAACAGGUAGGUAUUGCCCUCGGUUGGAAUUUGUCUCCCAACUCUAACGAGAGAUCAAGUGCUUGAGGCAAUGGUUCAUAGAGCGGGAGUAACUUUUCUUCUAAGUGGCAUACACCACGCACGGUCCAUCUCAACGAGGUGCUCCAGCUGUGUGAACCUAUCACCUCAAGCAUUCAAGCUCUCGACUUUCCGAAGACAAACUCUUAUCACUUUGAAGACUUCGGUCUCCCUCGACAAAACAAAAUAAUGACCAAAAGUCUACUGACAAUGAACAAUUGACAAGCGAAAAACACUCUCAAAUCGUAAUUCGCGCGUAGGAACUACGCAAUAAGUUCCCAUGAAACCAUACAAAGCUUUAAUCCAAGAAUCUCUCUCAAGAAUUUCAACAAACACUCUCUUCAAAAUACAUCACAACAAAAAUAGUCAAACUACAAACACAGAAAACUAGCGAAGGAAAUCCCAACUUUUUCAAAGGAAGAUAAACAAAUAAAUCAUAAACCACUGGACAAAAACAACAGAUCAAGCAAAGUAUAGUUUUAAAAUCAAAGAAAGAAAUGAAAACCAGAGCAUCCAAAGAUACUACCUGGAUGGACAUGGCCUUCUUGUUAGACUCAAGCUGGCUUCCUAUCAAAAAACCAAAGCUUAAAGAUCAAUGAUGGAUCUAACUAAAAAGAUGGUCUAAAAAAAACAGACCCAAAGAUUAGCAAAGAGAUGGAGAAAGAAAGAAAAAGUGGAAAGGAAGGAUUUGGGGAGCACCUUUGCCAGCAGCUUUUUGCUUUUCCAAGUUCUUCUCACGGGCCAUCUUGGAUUUUUGGCCAUUUCCUCCUCCCAUGGUGGAUUGAUGAGGGAAAAAAAGAAGGGUUUUUUGAUCGAAUUGGAAGUGAAAACUUGGAAGAGGGAACUAUCAGAGAUGAUUAAGGCAAAAUAAGGGAAAUGGGGGGCAGAAUAGAGACAAGACUAUGAACCACAAAGAAAGUAGAUUCGAAUAAAGUAAUGCAAGUGGGGCCAAAAGGAUAAAGGCUGGAAAUCGCCGAUAAAGGAAAACGCCAACUAGUUGAAUUUAGGUACAUCAGUCAGAUCUGUUACUGUUCUAUAUAUCACCCGAUUGUGAGGUGGAAUUACAGGGUAUUAUGGGGGAGUUUGGGUUCCGAGCGAGUUUAUUUAAGGUAUUUAGAUUAAUUAUUUAAGUUCGAAUUUAGUCAAAAAAUAAUUUUUUUUAUCUAAAUUUAAUCUAAUUUAAAAAAAAAUUAGAUCUAAUUUGAUCCGUAUAUAUUUAAUUUUUUUAAGUUACUUUUGUUAUACAAUUAUAAUAAAAUAUAUAAUAAUUCAGCCUGAAGUCCGACCCGAUAAAUCUCUCUCUAUAUAUAUAUUUAAAGAUUCUCUUUGAGAGGAGGGUACUUCAUACACUCUUUUUCUUUUAUCUUCUUCUUCUCUAUUGCUUCACCAGAAUGUCUUUCCCUUCUUUUUCCACGUACUAAGAAUGAUAAAAUAAAAAUUUUUUAACACAUUAAAAAUUAUUUAUAUUAAAAAAACACUAUCUUAAAUAUAAUAAAUAUUUUUUAUAUUAAAAAACAUAAAUAAAAAUAUUAAAUAUUUUAUUGUAUUAAAUAUAAAUUUUAAAAUUUUAUAUUUUGGUUUAGGUUAUUUAGUUGAAUAAGUUUUUUUAAAAGUUUUGAGUAAUGAGUUUAAUUGUUAUUGGGUUAAUGAUUUAAUAUAAGUAUAAAUAUAUAUAAUUAUUAUUUAACAUAUAUAUAAUUAAUAUAAUAUUAUUUUAUAACAUAAUAUUCGGGCUGAAUCGAGCUCGGGCCAAGAAAAUCUUACUAAAAGCUCAAAUCAUAUAGAAAAUAGACCUUAAUUUUACCUAAGCUCAUUUUUUGGGUGGAUCUUGAGGCUUGGGCUAGCGGUCCAGCCCAUGAGUAGGUCUAGGUGGAAUAAUAAAUAAAUAUUUAAUGUUUGAAUUUAUUUUUUAGUAAAUAAGUACCGUUAAACAAUAUUUUUUAAAUUGAAUUGGUGGUCGAACCGGUUAGGCCAUCAAUUCACUGGUCCAAUCGAUUUAAUUAAAAAAUUAUUAAUUAAAAAUUUUUUUCUAUUCAACUGAUUUAAUCGUUGAUUAACGAUUCAACUGAUUUUUUACUUAAUUUAUACUGAUUCUUAUAUACAAAAAAAUAUAAAAAAUAGUUAUAAUAUUAUAAAAUUUAUAAUUUUAAUCAAGAUAUGUAAAUUUAAAAGAGGGGUAUUUUGAUAGUUUUUAGGGGUGGGCCGAUGCAGGCUUGAUCAAAACUGAGAUCAAUUUCAUCCUGACCCAAAACUCGAUUUUCUUUUCAAUUUCAUCCCCUCUCUAACCAAAUCGGGUUGAAAUCCAAUAGAUUUGGGUUAAUUUGCUAGUCAUCAAUUAUUGCUUGGACCCUGUCAACUCUAAGAUCAACUGGAUCUUCAUCAAUUGCCCUCAAACAUUUUACAUGAAUGUUUCCAAAAAAUAAUAGCAAUUGGAAUUGAAAAAUUAUUUUUGUGUCGUUUUAGUUCGAUUGGUAUCGGUAUUAUUGUCAGUGCAGGAGGAUGUGGGUUCAAGUGCGUUGAAAUGUAUUAUCCUCCUAUUUAAGGGUUGAGAAUGGGCUAUGGGUAGUUUUAGACUUAUUAUAUCAAAAAGAGCAAAUAUGAUUAAUGUUAAAAAAUAGACCCUAAAAACUUGACCAUUUUUUUCUCUUCUUUUUUACUUGAGAAUAUUACGGGUAAAUUUCAAUUCCAAUCCUUCUAUUUUUUAAUUACAAAAAAUGGUUAAAUUUUAAUCUGAUCCCUAUAUUUCACUCAAUUUUGAGAUUUAAUUUAUAUAUUUUAAAAUUGACAUGACUUGAUAUCUCAACUUUUAUAAUGUCAUUGGUUAGUCUAAAUAUUUUUUUCUCGUUAAAACAAUGGUGUGAAUUUUUAAGAAUUGUUAGCACCAUGAAAAAUCUUUGUUAAAUUCGGGUUUAUUACAAUGUUAUUUUUUUGUUAUGUGGAUACCAAUUUAUUUUAUUUUAUUUUUUUGAAAAUGCCACACCAACACAAUAAUUAAGACAAUGUUAACAAAUAGACCUAAAUUUUUAAAUUUGAAAAGUAAAGAGACUAAAUUUUUUAAAAUAAAAAUUUAGAGAUUAAAUUCUAAAUAUACGAAUAAUACAAAAAUUUCAAACAAAUUAUAAUUUUUAAAUUUUUACACUAUAAAUUAAUUAAUAAUUAAUUAAUAAACUCAACAAAAAUUGUGGGUGAAACCAUACUAGUAAGUAGUAACUAUACAUAAAAUGUAUUGGACUUGCUGCCACGUGUCACACCCAACUAUAUUCAUUUUCUAUUCUUUUUGCAUUUUUACCAAAAACUGUUAAAUUUCAGCUUUGGUCCCUUUAAUAGGCCUAAAUUUGAGAUUUAAUCUAUAUACGUUAAUUUCUAAAAUAAUAUGUCCCUUAUAGUUUUAUAAUGUUAUUAUUUAGUACAAAUAGUUAAUAUUGUUUACUUUUUUAUUAAAACAUUAUGUGGUUAUAUAUAAAUUGAAUACCCUAAGUCUUAGAGACUAACUUGUGGCUUCCCAAAAUAUUUGCGUUAUUUUUUCUUUUUUACAUUAUAAGACAAUGGUCAAAUUUUAAUUUUAACCCUAAACUGUAUUGAAACUUGAGAUUUAAUCUAUAUACUUUAUUUAUCUUUUACAUAAUUCGGUCCCUCUAAUUUUAUAAAGUCAUUAGUUUGUCUAAAUAGUUAAUAUUGGUCAACUAUUUCAAUCAAAAUGUUGGCGUCAAUCUAGAAAAAAAUAUUUCAUCAUGACGAUUUUGAAUGGGUAUUUUUAAGAAAAAUUGUAAUAAAUAUUUUCAAUGUUUUUUUUAAUAUAUGGCUACGAAGUGAAUAUAUAUUUUUUAAUUUCAAAAUGUCAUACUUGAGAAUUAAUAAAAGAAAUUUAACGAUGGUAUCAAUUGGACCUGGAAUUUUAAAUCCAAAAAGUAGAUUAGUAUAUUCUCAAAAAUAAAAGUAAGGGGACUAAAUUCCAAAUGUAUGAAGUGUAUAGGGACUUGGAGAAUAUUUUAACAUUUGAAUUUUUUACUUUAUAAUUUGACAUAAACAAAUAAUCAACCCAACACGAAGUGUGGGCUAGGAACCACGCUAGUUUAUAUUGAAUUUUAAGUUCAAGAUAAGUACAACAAAAUUACCUCUAACAUGGUCAAAGACGAAACCAAAAUAAUGUUGAUAAUUAAGAAAUAAAGAAAUAUAUAAUUGUUGAAGGGGUAUCGACUUCUUCCAGAGAUGUCUUCAAUAUGCCGUCCUCUAAGCAACCGACUGAAGCCCCCAACAACCAAAGGUAUUGUCCUUGGGAGAGAGUAUUGUCCCCAGCCUCCGCGAAGAGCCAAUGUGCCGUGAGUGGCUACCCUGAAAGUCUACUUCAUACAUGGGUGCCUCGAUUAUACGUAGACAUAUGACCACUCAUUGAGAGGCAAUGAAAGCAUCUCGCCCUUGGUGGAGUUUAAACCCCUCACCAAUAACAUAUAAGUCACUUAUUGGGGUAUAUCUGACCCAUAUAGAUCACAAUGACAAUCUUUUUUAAUUCAUUUUCUUCUUCUUCUUCUUUAUCAAGCACCGUCAAUUUUAUUUUCUAUCCACAUUUUCGCUGUCAAUUUUUUUAUUCUAUUUUUUCAUUUAACUAAACGUACCUUAAAUGUCAGUUUGAAUAUGACGCGGAGCACGUGUAAAAUACAUGAAUCAAAUUGUAAUUAAAGACAUGUUUAUAAUGUAUUUGUCACAUAAAUAACUUGAAUUUGACAUGUUAAAAGAAACAUAUAGCAUCAUUAAUAGGGGUGAAUUUAGAAAUUUUCUAAACAUUGGAAUUGAAUUAUAAAAUUUUUGAGAGUUCAAAGUGUAAUUUUAUAAUGUAUUAACUUAUAAUUUCAUCAUUUUAAAAAAAUACAUUUUUUUAGAGAUGUAAAGCAUAAUUUUAUCAUUACAAAAUUUUAAUUUAAUCAUUUAUAAUAAAACUAUAAAGAAACUUCUUAGGGGUGGGUUUCAAAGCCCACAUAUCCCCCACAUUGUAUUAUCCUCUUAACGUCCAAUGAAUGUCCGAAAUUAACCUAUAUUAUUUUUUUGGUAAAAAAGUAGCAGAAAUCAGCUACAUCAACAUAGUUCUAAUGAGAAUUUCCCAUGGUUUCGAUUUGCUGAAGAUCAGCUAACAACAAUCCUCUAAUAUUCAUUGGAGGCUAUUUAAAAGUGCAAAUCAUAUUUAAAUCUUCAGCAUCCAUCUUCGCCAAGUAAUCCACAACCUUAUUUUGUUCCAUUGGAAUAUGUCGAAAUUAAUAGCUAAAUUGAUGGAAGGAGCUAAUUAUAUGAAACCAUAUUUUGAAGACUUAAUCAAAAUUCUUUGAAGAUUAGGACCAAAUUAAAAUCUAAAUUAUAAAUUGAGAACCACUGCUGCAAUUAAUCUAAAGAGUAUCAUAUAAAGCCAAAUUUGGCGUUAAAACUUUAAAUUUUCUAUUUAUUUAUCAGUUUCCCACCGUACAAGUUUUUUCCCGCGUUUCUUCGAAGGUUUCUAAUAACUUCUAUUGGUUUCCAUUUCUUAAUCCAAAAUAUAAUUUACAAAGUAUGAAGUUAAUUAUUUUUGUAAAAAAUGGAAGCUUAGUUUGCAAAUCAGAUCAAAACAUUCGGGAUUUUAGCCAUUUUUUCAGGUGAAUUACGAGCGCAUCGGAGUUAUUCUACACUCGAAGGUCGAGUGGGCCGACGACCCGACCCGCAUUCAGGAUUUGGGUCCUUAAUUGAUCGGAAUUACAAUCGCGCCGGAAAUCAUUUCAGUCACCAUAAUCGGAGGCUUGAUUUGGACGGCCGUGAUCCUCUCCGCCGUAUUCUCUACGCUCACGUGGCUUCUCCCUUUCCCUACGCUCAUUGCACAUAAUGUUUUUUUUUCGUUUGGUUGCUUAGAAAAGAAAAACGGAAAAAGGAAAAAAAUAAGUAUACGAAUUAAUAGAUGUUCUUGGAAGUGAAAAUAGAUUGAAUUUUCAUUUUGUUGAAAUAAAUUUUGAUUAAUUAAUUUAUUUUGCUUUGAAAAUCAGUAGCUUAAAGAUAAAUCUAUUAGUUGAAUUACUGAAAGUAGUUAUGAAAUGUAAAAUUUUCUCGAUAAUUUAUCUGAGUUCUGAGCCCUAAGCUAAAUUGCUGUAAAUUUCAUCCAAUAACAUAUAAUAUGUAUACAGAUAGAUAAGAUUGCUUGAUAUUGCAUUACCUUGUGAUUUGCUUUUACUUUGGGGAAAUUACUUAACAGUUAAGUGCAUUGAGCUAGUGUUGCUAGUACCUCUUCUUCAGUAAUGAAUAUUUUGAGUGUCUUUCAGAGAAAUGCUAUAAUGAAUUUGGCUUUGUCAUGCAGCAACCAGUUUGUGUAAGUAGUUCAAGUAGGCCACGUUUAAGUUCGAACUAGCGACUUCCCGGAGUUUUGCUGCGAGUAAGAGGCGCGUCCAUUUCUUCAAACAGGUUGGUGCUUAGAGCUCUCUGCAAGUUUCAAAUUCAUAGCACUUGCAUUGGUUGUAUUUACUGUGAUUAUUUACCUUGUCAAGUAGAGCUAGUAAUUCUGCAAGUUCAUAGCAUUUGCAUUAAUGCACUUAUGGCACUUUUAGUGCUUUUGCUGCACUAGUUGGACUAAAAAUAUAUCCACCAUUCUUGCUUUGACACCAAUUUCCAUUCAACCCGUUUAAAUUCUCGAAGGACAGCAUAUCUAUAACUUUCUCAACUCUACUAGAAUCCAAAUCAUGAUUUUGCUUUUUUGUUCUACUUUUAUUUCGUGGAUAUGUUGAGUGGUGCAAAAUGAUCAAAAGGGGGGCAACUAUUAAACUAUCAACUUGUGUCAUAAUCUGUAUAGGACGAUUCAGUGUCAUAUAUGGUUGAUUGUGAUCCAUUAUUGUUGCUGCAUCCAUAAAAUGAAAUUGUGGGUCUGACUGGGUUUAGCAAUAAGGAAAAGAGGUACCAUGUGAUCUUUUAGGAAGAUAGAUGGCUUGGGUUAUCACCGGUUUAUGCAUAGAUCAAUUUCAUAGGAGUAACCUAAAAUGCACUCUGAUGCAGCAAUUUGUCGGUUGCAUUGUCACUAGUGUAUUCAAUUUUCAAUAAUUGUUUUGGCGCUUGAUACCCUAGCUAUUUUUUUAUAGAAUUGCCUGCUAUAAUCAUCAUGUUUCAACAGACUUUUUUUUGUCCCUCUUUAGACAUUAGAUAUUCUGGUAAAAUUUUGCUAUUAGUCCAUAUACUAUGCACAAGUUGCAAAUUUUUGUACUUAUACUCUAAUUUGGUUAUUUUUAGUCUUUGUACUUUUCAAAUUUUGAAAAUUUAGUCCUGAACAAUGGCUGACAAAUUCAUUAAGUUAAAAUUUGUUAUUUCCAACAUCUUAUGCCACAAACAUAUUAUCACAUUUGUAAUUCUAUGUUAACUUGCUAUUUUCACAUAAUACUUCAAGAAAAUCGUUUCAUAUUAGUUAAUAAAUUUAAUAGCUCUUGUUUGAGUCAAGAUCGAAAUUUUAAAAUUUGAAAAAUAUAAAGAUUAAAAAUGAUCAAUUUGAAGGACGUGGAUUAAAUCCACAAUUUAACGCCAUAGUAUGGAACUAAUAGCAGAAAUUUUAGAGUACAUAGACUAAAACCUGCAACUUACAUAUAGAACAUGGACCAAUAGCAGAAUUUGACCACUUAUUUAUAUUCUUGAACAGAUUAAAUUCACUCUUUUUAUGCUCAAAAAAAAUCUGUCAUUACUUUGAGCCUACUUCUGUUAAUGCAUUAAAUCAGAUAUUUCUUUUGCUACUCCCCAGCUAUUAGUAGUACCAUAAUUUCCAGGCCCACUGCUGCUUGACUUGCAUCACUAACAACCAAAACGGUCCAGUCCCACUGCCGGUGUGCUUCCCAUGUAGUAUAUUAUUGUUAUUUACAUCACUUUCCACUACCACUAUUACCCAGCUAACUUCCUAGUAAAUUAGCAUUUCUAACCAUGUGGACCACUAGAACUUGUGGCACUCAGUAAUGAAGAUAUUUAUGUUUCUGUCUUUCAUUACGCAGUGGACUACUUCAAGGUCCGAACUGCGGUUUAAACAUUUUAUACUUUUUUUCCCUUUUUCGUUUUCUAAUUUACUUAUUUUGUCCUUGUUUUAAUUUUUUGAAUUUUCUUUUGACUGAAUCAGAAAUCAGUAUUUUGAUUGAUUUGAACGUCGAUUUAAUUUUUGUGACACAGCUAUCAUGUAGGCAGAGGUUUCGUUCACUAGACUUGCUUAGAUCUUGGGUUAGAGCUUGUGGGAACUGACCUUACUAUAGAAAAAGCAUAUACUAUCUCUAUUAUGUACCCAGUUGCAAGGUAUUUGAAUUAAAUCCCACUUAAAAAGUAUGAGAUUUUUAGUGAAAUUUAUAUGAACCAUGUUUGUCUCAACUUCAACAACUAGCUUUUGAGGUAUAAUUCUCCAUUGAUCUAUUUUUGUUAGUGCUUCAGUUUCCUUAACAUUGAUAGCGUGUGAACUUUAAAAUGUAAAGUAUCUAUCGGUUUCAAUGUCCCUUUCCUUGCUUGACCAACCUGCCCUACUUGUUUUCCAAAAUGGACUGAAACCAAAUUGUUUUAUGUUGUUGUCAGCUACAGUAUUGGUACUCACCAUGCUCAGAGUCUCAACCUCUAUGUUAAAACCUUUUUCCUUGAAAUUUCCUAGGCAAUUUUGGACACAUAACAUACAUAAAAAACAAUACAAAUAUAUAAUAUUAAUAUAAAAGUAUGUCAAUAGUAAGUUUAAGGUUAAAAUAUAUCAUAAGUCCUCAUGUUUUUCAAAAAUCUAAAAUUUAAUCUUUGUAUUUUGUUAAAUUUAGAUUUAUUAUAAUGUCUUUUUUUUAGUUACAUAGCUAUCAAAUGGAUAUUUUUUUAUUUUAAAAUAUUAUACUAAUAAAUUUAAUAAAAAAAUUUAACUAUAUUAAUAAUUAAAUCUGAAUCUUAAAAUAAAAAAAGUGAUACAAUUACUGAAAUAGGGAUUAAAUUCUAAAUUAGGUAGAAAGAAUUUACCUAAUCUGAUAUGACAUUUAUCAUGAUUUGAAAGUUUUGUAUUAAAAUGCCAAUUUCCCCACACGAGAAAUGUCACAUGUAUCACAACUUGUUAGGAUCAUUAUUUAUAAUAAACAUAAAAGCAGAUGUAAAUCAUAUCCCUCAUUUGACUCUCUAGAGGCAAAAAGAGGGAAGCAUAUUAUACUCCACUUAAUACAUUGAACAUAUACUCUUCCUUUUUCAAUUGUAUAAAAUAUUCAUUUAAGAUAAUCUUUAUCAUGAAGAAAGCUAAAAAGAAACUUAAAGGAAAAAAUGAAAAAAAGGGGAAAAUGAAAGUUUAAGUUUUACAGAAGAUCCUUAUACUAUGAAUUUUUUGUAUAUCUAGUCCUAUAUAAUUUAAUAUUUCUACUCCUAUUUUACCAAACAGGUAUUUUUAGUUUGGAUGUCAACUUUUUCUUCUAAUUUUGCUAAAUAUUAUAAUAGGAUAUAGCACUUGACUGUACAUCUACAUUUUGUACAAUUAGAUAUUAUUUUUGUAUAUUUAGAAAAAGAAUAAAAUUAUAAUAAAGUGUAUAAAAAAAUGCAAAAGUGAUAAUGUAUUUAAAUAUUAAGGUAAAAUUAAUCUCAAGUUAGACCCAUGACAACCCACUACCUCUACCCCUAUAAGCAUUACAAAAAAGUGAUUGAGGGUUAAAAAUUAUCAAAGUAUAGAAAAAGGACUAAAUCCGAAAAAAUGAAAAAUGCAGAGUCCUUUAUGAAAUUUUACCAAAAUGAAAACGGAAACUUAAACGCGGAGAGUACAGCAGUAUUCGGGUCUUUGGUCAUCUUCCUCUUCACGCGGCAUCUUCCUCUUUAAUCGCCAUUUUCGCUUUCUCUCUCAUUAUAUAUCUUUAAAAACCAUUCUUCAACCUAACAAAAAAAACCACAGCAACAAAAAAGAAAACCAUACAAACAAAUCCUAAAAGACUCUCUUUACAACGUAAAGAGCAAAAACCCCAACAGCAAAACGUGUAGUAAUAAGGCAAAAACACGGUAGGGAAGGAAGGUUGUUAAUAUAUACAUAUAAAAGUUAUAACGGAAGAAAGGUCGAACGAUUCAAAAAAACCCAACGAUGGCUAUGAUGUUACGGUCGCUCGCUAGGCCGCUUGAACGUUGCCUUGGGUUAAGGGCCGGUGGGGAUGGUCUCAUGUGGCACACUGAUCUUAAACCUCAUGCUUCGGGCGAGUACUCAAUCGCCGUCGUUCAAGCCAAUAAAAACCUUGAAGAUCAAGGCCAAGUCUUUACAUCUCCUUUAGGUACCUAUGUUGGUGUUUAUGAUGGUCAUGGCGGACCCGAAGCUUCCAGAUUUGUAAACAAGCAUCUUUUCCCAUUUCUCCACAGUAAUUGUUCUUUGACCCUUUUAAUCUUUUUCUUAAUUAUUUUUCUGGGUUUUUUUUUAGAUUAUCUGAAAUGGGGUUUUCUUUGCGUCUAAUUUUUCAAGAUUCAAAUAUUCUUUUGUGUUUUAAUGGUCAAAGAGAAUUUUGGGUUUUUGUCAGUUAAUGAUAUUUUGAACAACUUACAAAGUGUCUAUCAUGCACGUUUAUUUAGUUAUUAUUUGUGUAUCUGAAUGAAUAUGAAUUACUUUGUCUAAAUAUAAAUCUUUAUGCGUUUGAAAUUGGAAUUUGGUUCUCAAGAUUCUAAAACCAUUCAGUUUAAUUUCAAUUUUUGGCACCUUUCACCUCCUUGCUUUAUUGGGUUUUGUCAGUGAAUGGUUGUGUUCUUGUUUUAAUUUUUCUGUCUUAAUUGUAGAAUUUGCUACAGAGCAAGGGGGAUUAUCUGCAGACGUGAUAAAGAAGGCGUUCAAUGCUACUGAAGAAGAGUUUUUACAUUUGGUGAAGCAAUCAUUGCCCGUAAGGCCUCAAAUUGCUUCAGUUGGAUCAUGUUGCCUUGUUGGUGCGAUAUCCAACGAUGUGUUGUAUGUGGCGAAUCUCGGCGACUCGAGAGCAGUUCUUGGCAAAAGAGUUUCGGAGGAUAAGAAAAACAAGGUUGUGGCAGAGAGGCUAUCAACAGAUCACAAUGUUGGAGUUGAGGAAGUGAGGAAAGAGGUUGAGGCUCUUCAUCCUGAUGAUUCGCAUGUCGUGGUUUACACUCGCGGAGUUUGGAGGAUUAAGGGCAUAAUCCAGGUACUUAACAAAAUCUAUUGGCAAACCCAAUUAUAAGAGUUUUAAGUUGAAUCAGACAGGUUGAAGAACAGUUCAUGUUUUGGUUCAAUGAAUUCGAUGGAUAUACAUGUUUCUUUCCAUCAAUUGCUUGUAUGUUUGUAGAAAAGGUAUAUUUACAAAACAAAUAAACAUUGUGCAUCCUCUGAAUCAUAAUGCUAAGCUUAUGUGACUAUAUGGAGUCUUCUCUCUUUUCUUUUUCGGGUUUUUUGGGUUCCUUUUGUUGAUUUCUUUCCCCUUUAACUUCAGCAGUUAAAUGGUUCUCUGUAAUGGAUAAUGUUGGUCUAAGCAUUGAACUUGUUUCUUUAUUCAGGUGUCAAGAUCUAUCGGUGAUGUUUACUUGAAGAAACCCGAUUUUUAUAGAGAUCCAAUCUUUCAACGAUUCGGAAACCCUGUUCCCCUUAAAAGACCAGUUAUCACGGCAGAACCCUCCAUCCUUAUUAGAAAGCUUAAGCCCCAAGACUUAUUUCUGAUAUUUGCAUCAGAUGGCCUAUGGGAACAGUUGAGCGAUGAAACCGCGGUAGACAUUGUUUUCAGAAACCCCCGAGCUGUGAGUAUUUACCUUUGUCUUAUUGGUUAAUUUAGUCUUCAUUAGCAGCUGGACCGAAUGACAGAGUAUUGAUUUUAAGUUUGCUUGUAUUACUUGCAGGGUAUUGCUAAGAGACUGGUAAGUGCCGCACUUAGAGAAGUUGCAAAGAAAAGAGAGAUGAGAUACGGCGAUAUUAAGAAAAUCGAGAAGGGAAUAAGACGGCAUUUCCAUGACGAUAUAACCGUGAUCGUCAUUUACCUAGAUCAACACCGAGGCUCUUCACAUAACAUAGUUAAACAUAAUGCCAUGGGGUGCACGACGGCGCCAGUCGACAUCUAUUCAUACAAUGCAGAUGAAGGAUAUGAAGGAGAUUUACUUCAAACAGUUUCUUGAAUACACAACAGAAUGAGUUAAUAUUAGGUUUAGCACACUGACUUUUUAUUCUUUUUCAAGUCUUAUUCAUGUAUAGAGAAACCAAAUGAUGGGGUGGGAUUGGUUCUUAAACCAAUGUUUCAUUGGGAGAAAAAUCGAGAGUUUGGAAGGUAAUUUUAGUCACCUCAGACGGAUUCCGACACAGGCGGCUAUAGGUGUUCCGGUUGAAGUUCUAACGGUUACCGAAAAGGCUACAUUGUUUUAUUGGUUUAUUAAAUUCAUUGCUUAUAUUAUAUUUAAUUCGAAGUGAGUAACUAAAGACAAUUAAUUACGUUAUUAAUUUUUCUUGUCAAUUAUACAUAAUUUUGAUUGGUGUAAUAACAAAUUUAACCCUUAAUAUUUAUAUAUUUUGUGCAAAUGUUGACAGAAUAUGUAAAUGUUGUAGGUUAAUUUCGUUAAAUCGUGAUUAAAUUGACAGAACAUGUAAGUGUUAUGGGUUAAAUUUGUUAAAUCAAUGUUAAAUUGACAAGAAGUAUAAACUUUAAGGGCGAAUUUUGUUACUAUACCGAUAGAAAAAGUAUAAUUGAUGAAAAAAUAUUGAUGUUAUGAUUAAUGGUCAUUAGUUGCUCACUUUUAAAAUCGACAAGAUUAAAUUGUUAUAGUUUUUUUGAGAGGGACCAAUUUGUUCAAAAUGAAAAUUGAGAAGAAUCAAAAUGUCAUUGUACCUGGUUCUUAUACAUACCAUAUCUAAGUUGUGAAUUUAGUUUUUGUACAUUAAUUUACUCAAUUUCAGUCUCUUUACUUUUUAAAUUUAAAAUUUUAGUUAUGAUUUAGAUUGUAAAUUAAAUUCGUUUCAUUCUAUUAUGUUAUUAGUCUUAUACUAUUAUUACAGUUGUGAAUUUAAUUCAUGUUUUUUAAUUUUAUCAUUUUUAGUCGUUAUACUUUUCAAAUUUUAAUGCAAACGAAAAUAGUUAAAUCCAUUAAACGUAGGUUUUCUAUGUGUGCAAUAUAUGAAAAUAGCAAAUUGCAACUAUUAUUUGAUCGAGACUAAAAUUGAAUAAUACAAAAAAUACAAAAAUUAAAAUUAAAUAAAUUAAAAGAUAGAUAUUAAACUCACAAUUUAUUCAUAUACAUAAACUAAUAACAUAAUUCUUAAUACUCUUAAAUUAAAAACAACACUUAAUAAACUACGAGAGUUAGGUGAGAUGACAAAUAUCUCUCCUAUAUUAACCAGUGGUUGAAAGUUUGAUCCUCGCAUUGGGUAUAGAAUAACUUUAAAAACUCGUAGUCGGCAUCUAUUAUUUUAAUAGACCUAAAAAUGCGGAGAAUUAAUUACUGAACUCGCUCUAAGCAUGACAUAACACGACAAAGUUGGCUUGUAAUUUGUAUAUCUAAACCAAAAGGGAAAAAAUGUUUUGCGAGACAAAUUCCUUAAACUGAAAGACAUGGGAAUUUUGGCAACUAGAUAGCAAUAACCAAACUUGUUAGGUGAAACGAACCAAACUAAAGCACAAAACGACAAUCAGUUGCGCUAAAGUUAGGAUGUCUUGUCACUUUUAAAUUUUUAUUAUACAACUUGCUUCACUAAACAAAUACUAUUUAAUGAACUUUUUAAUAUUCUUACUCUACUUUUCAAUAAUUCAUAAAGCUAAUAAAUAUAUUAUAUUCUUUCAAAUUACUUUUCUUUAAAUUAUUUUUUCUUUAUUUUAAUUGAAAAUUUUUAUUGUAUUAAUUGCAUAAAAAUACUCAAAAUUUUAAUUUAUUCUUUAAUUUCGAAAUAUGUUUAAACGUUAAAACGUUAAUUUUGAUAUGAUGUAAAGUACAUUUAAAAUGCCCGAAUUAAAUUGUAAAUUUAUGUAUACUUACAUCAUUAAUAACUUGGAUCUUACGUAUUAAAAAAAUAGUGUUAAUAAAUUUUAGGAGGGUUAACACUUUUAACUGUUAGAACGAUUUUUUUAAGUAGAAAUCAUGUUGGUACUCUAACUAGAAUGGUUAUACUUUAGUUACUUGGGUUAACUGUUAAUAUUAUAAAAAGUAGAAGAUUAAAUUACAUUAAAUAAAAUUAUGGAGAUUAAAUUUUAAAUUUGAGCACAAUAAAGGGACCAAAACUAUAAUUUAACUCUUUUUAAAUUCAAUAUUUUGUUGAAGGAUUAAAUUGGGGUUGAACUUGAAACCUACUUCUAUAUUGGGGCUUGAACUUUUUUUUUGUCUAAGUUGCUCCCUAAACUUAGCAAUUUUUCUCAUAUUGAAGUUUGAACUAGGCCAUUGUUCUAAGGGGCGAAGCCAAAAUUUUUUUUUUUGGGAGUUGGAAUUAAAUUGUAUAUUUUUAUGGUAGUAAGAAUGUAAUUUUACCAUUUUAAUAGCCUAUGUCAUUAUAAUUUUAAAGGAUUAAAUCAAUUUUGUAUUAUUUAAGAGGUUAAAGUUCAAAUUUAUCAUUACUAAUUUAAAAUUUUAUAAAUUAUAAAAAGUUUAAAUAGAAAAUUUUUCAUUUUAGGGGGAACUGGGGGCCUUGCCAACCUCUCUGGCUUUGCCAUUGAUUGUUUCCAUAUUGGAGCUAAACUUGACAAUUGUUCCUACAUUGAUGCCUAAGUUUUAGGGUUUUCAAAGAAACAUCAUGGAUUAAUUUGGAUCAAAAAAGGUUCAAGCCCCAAUAUAAAAACAAUUACCACAAAAAAAUUCAGGUCUCAAUAUGAAAAUAAUUACCAAUUUCAGGCCCAAAAAGGUGAUUUAACCCUUUGCCCAACCCCAUUCAAGUUACCAAACGAGAGGAAAAUAACAAAUUCCUAGAAAAUCUACAAUUUUGUGCGCUAAAAAAGAAAAUACAAAUAGUCGUUUCAGUAUAAUUUUCUCGGAAAAUAACCAAAACCCAGUCCUUUAAGCUUCAACAUCCAAAGAAAAAAGAAUGACUGCAAGUCAUUUGGUUGCUGAAUCCGUGUGGAAAACAAUAGAGUCAACUCAUUCAGGUCUUUCUUUUUUUCCCCCCUUAUUUAUUCUUUCUAUGUAGAAACUAAAUUCCAUCUUCUUCUUUUUUCCUUUUUUAAAUCCCUAAAUUUUGUGAUCUUAUGACCCAAAUUGGCCAGUAAAUGAAGAGCAACUAUCAAUGUAAGCAAUACUCAUUUUCUUUUAAAUCUUUUAUUCUUGGGCUUUUUAAAAUAAAAAUAAAAAUAAAAAUGGUGGGUAUUGAUUAAUUUUGAAUUUUCUUUUAUUGUAGCUUGCAUUUUCUGUUUGGUAAAAACUUCGAGAGAGCAACAAGGAUAGUUGACCAAAGGGGUGUCAAGAAAAUCUCCGGUGAACCCAGCGGUCGUUUUAUCUUUCAGGUUCAUUCUCUUUGUUGCUAUCUCAAUUUUUGAAUAUUGGUCGAAUUCUCCUAUUAGUCCAUGCACUCUGCAUAAAUUGCAGAUUUAAUCCAUGUUCCUCGAUUUAAUGUUUUUAAUGAUUUGUUUUUCAAAUUGUAAUUUUAGUAUCAUGUUAUAUCUAUUUAAUUUAAUUAUUUUAUUUCAGUUAAUAAAUUUCACUGCUAUUGGAUAUAAGAAUAAAAAUGAUAAAAUUUUAGAACAAAUAUUAAAUCUAUAAGGUUAGGACAGAAAAAUCCAAAUAUUAUAAAAUUAAAAUUGACCAAAUUAAAAUAUGUAGACUAAAUCUGUAAUUUAGACUUAGUAUAUAUACUAAGGGAAGAAUUUGUCAUAGAAUAUUUGGACGAGUUGUCGGCUACCUUAUGUGUAAAAUAUGGUCAUUUUGGCAAAUAUUCCAUUUUAAGAACUUUCCUGGAAACUUUUCUGAAACUGUGAGCCUUGAGAUAAAACCCGAAGCAGAAUUGAGACACAUCAGUAUAUAUCCAUUUGUAUAUCUCAAUAUAUAUAUAUAACAUACGCCUGUCUAGUUAGAAUAUUUGGACAAGUUGUCGGCCACCUUAUCUGUAAAAUGUGAUCAUUUUGGCAAAUAUUCCAUAUUUAAGAACUUUCCUGGAAAAUUUCUGAAACUAUGACCCAUCAAGGCUCUUGGCAGAAUCGUGAGAUAAAACCUGAAGCAGAAUUGAGACACAUCAAUAUAUAUAUCCAUUUGUAUAUCUCAAUAUAUAUAUACAGACGCAUGUGUAGUUAGAAUAUUUGGACAAGUUGUCCUCUACCUUUUCUGUAAAAUGUGAUCAUUUUAGCAAAUAUUCCAUCUUAAGAACUUUCCUGGAAAUUUUUCUUAACUAUGACCCAUCAAGGCUCUUAGCAGAAUGGUGAGAUAAAACCCGAAGCAGAAUUGCGACACUUCAAUAUGUAUCCAAUUGUAUAUCUCAAUAUAUAUAUAUACAUAGGCAUGUCUAGUUAGACUAUUUGGACAAGUUGUCAUCUACCUUAUCUGUAAAAUGUGAUUAUUUUAGCAAAUAUUCCAUCUUAAGAACUUUCCUGGAAAAUUUUCUGAAACUAUGACCCAUCAAGACUCUUAGCAGAGUCGUGAGAUAGAACCCGAAGCAGAGUUGAGACACAUCAAUAUAUAUAUCCAUUUGUUAUAUAUAUACAUACGCAUGUCUAGUUAGAAUAUUUGGUCAAGUUGUCAUCUACCUUAUCUGUAAAAUGUGAUCAUUUUAGCAAAUAUUCCAUCUUAAGAACUUUGCUGGAAAAUUUUCUGAAACUAUGACCCAUCAAGGCUCUUAGCAGAGUCGUGAGAUAAAACCCAAAGCAGAAUUGAGCCACAUCAAUAUAUAUAUAUCCAUUUGUAUAUCUCAAUAUAUAUAUACAUACGCGUGUCUAGUUAGAAUUUUGGACAAGUUGUCAUCAACCUUAUCUGUAAAAUGUGAUCAUUUUAGCAAAUAUUCCAUCUUAAGAACUUUCCUGGAAAUUUUUCUGAAACUUUUUUUUCCCAUUGUUUGGUGCUUUAGGUUGUGGGAGAAUCUAGAAGAAAAGAAGAAUAUUUCUGUUUUGCUGAACAUUAUUGUGCUUGUUAUUCAUUCUUUUAUGAUGUAAUUAACAGAGCAGAACAGCUUUGUGUAAGAUUUCUUUAUUCCUUUAUUCCCCUUAUUUUAUUGCAUUUAAUAUAUAGGUAAAAUUUUUGAAAUUGAGCAAAUUGGUCCCUCUAAAAAAUUAUAGCAAUUUAUCUUUGUCAAUUCCAAAAGUGAGCAACUAAAAAUAAUUAAUCAAGACGUUGAUAUCAUUUGUCAAUUGUACAUAGUUUUGAUUGGUAUAAUAACAAAUUUAGCCUUGUUAUUUACAUGUUUAUACAAAUAUUGAGUUGCAUUUAUUAAAUCAGGACAAAAUUGAAAGAAUAUGUAACUUUGAGAGCUAAAUUAUUUAUUAUACCAAUCAAAUUUAUGUACAAUUGAUGAUCAAAAUAUUAAUGUUGUGAUUAAUUAUUCUUAGUUGCUCACUUUUGAAUUAAAACGGAUUAAAUUACUUCAAAUUUUUUAGAGGAUUCAAUAUGCUCAAUUUACUUAAAUUUUUUUAGAGGAUUCAAUAUGUUCAAUUUUAAAAUUAAAAGGGAUUAAAUUACUUUAAUUUUUUUAGAAGAUUCAAUAUGCUCAAUUUCAAAAUUGAGAGGGACUCACCUAUAUAUAUUUGCUGUAUUUUCAUAUUUUGUUUUGCUUUUGUGUAGUGUAAGCAUCAAUUAGCUGCAAGGCUUGCUGGAUCAUUGGGAGCUUGUAUUGAAGUUAAAGUGUCUGAUGAACAGCUAGCUGUAUUACUUUCUGAGCUCUAAAUUUUUGUAGUAAAAUCGUAGCGGGUCGGAUCCGAAAUUUAAUCUAGUUGGUUCAUGCAGUUACAUUUAAAGAAAUGACAUUCAAUAAAUAUGAUUCAAUUUUUGAUAAAUAAAAAUAUUGUUUGUAUGUUUAACAACAAAAAGAAUGAACAAAUUAUAAUCAUCAAAUCAAGGAACAAUAUUGUGAGUUUUCAUCUUUUUAAUCCAUGAAUUGAACGACGUUUUCGAGUUUCGGAACCCGACAAAUCCAUGUUCUUUGCUCUUGUUCAUGCUAUCCAACAGUGACUUCCCCGAAAGCACCGAAUCAACGAACUGCCAUGCUCCGGCAUUGCUCAAUUUCAUCGGCAAAAGACCGUUCUCCCUCACGAUGUUGUCCCACACCGGACCUUUGUCUUUCAUCAUUUCAACCAAGCUUGGCACCUUCUCUUCGGUUUCUUGAAAUCCGUAGUGUUCGAUACCGAACUGGUCAGCUAACACUUUCCAUAAGUCCUUCCACUUAAACACAUCUCCAUUGCUACAAUUAAAGGCUUCGUUUUUCGCUCGCCGGCUCAUUGCUGCCCAUAUUUGAUGUUCUGCAAUCAAAUCCGCAUCCGAUGCAUCCCAGUACCCUUCCCACGCUUGUCGGUUCCCCGGAAACCUCAACGGCUCGCUUUCAUGCUUACAUAUCGACGCGUAAAUGCAUAAACUCCGAACUAUAUUCAUCGAACUAAACGGAGAAAACCCAAAAACCAAUCCCGGCCUAUGAACAGACCAUGUCAAGUUCUCCUUCUGCUUCACUUCUUCCAACAAAACAUCCUCGAGCGUAUAACACAAGUUUGACGACUUAAGCCUCGGAAGAUCCUCGCGAAAAGGAGGAUCAUGGGGCUGAACAUGAUAUUUUCCGUACAAAUCAAUCGGACCGGUGUAAUGCCGACGACCGGUUUGCAAGCAUAUAUGUUUCAACUUGGGUGAAUUCGGGAUUACCGCUUUCAACACGUUCCGUAACAUAGUACCAUUGAUAACGCAGUUUUCAUCUUCAGUUGAUCUCUUAUCCCAUGCAACAUAAAACACAUGAGUCACAUCGUUAAGCUUUGAUAAUUUAUCACAUGUUUCUUCUUCAUCUAAAACAUCGCAUUGUAUGUACUCAAUAGGCAAAUGACUAGUCGAGGCUGGUCGAGGCUGACGAGCAACACCGUAGACCUUCCACGGUCCGCCGGGAAUACCGGAGAACGGAAGAAUCUCGGCGAGACUGUUACCGACUAUGCCGGUGAUGCCAAUGACCAAAGCAACACUCUUGUACUUGGAUUGUUUAUCAUGUUCUUCCAUUUUCUUCUGUAAAAAAAAAAAAAAUCUGGGUUCAUUAGAUUAAAUGCAGAGAAAGAGAACCCAAAAAAAUGAAUGAGCAUUAACGUACCUUGGCAGCACCAAUGGCUCCUGCCCACCACCAACUCAUUGUAUGUUUUUCUUUUGCUGUUAAUGAAAAAAAAUGCUGAAUUACAUCCUUAAACUUUGUCUGCAAUGUUUUUAUAGUGAUCCGCUUUGAUAAAAGUGACGUCUGGGAAUUUAAAAAAGGAAAAAAAAACCAAUCUUAUCUAUUUACAUGUAUCAACUACAGCUCAACAAGAACUUGUUAUCAAUUUGAUUUCUUUAUAAUAAUAAUAAUAAUAAUAAUUUUAGUUGGGAUAAAUUACAAGAAUAGUCACUCUUGUUUGUCUUAGAUUAUAUUUUAGUCAAUUAUGUUAUCGUUUUGUUACGAAGUGGUCACUCUACCGCUAAACUCCGUUACCUCCCUAGCGGUAGUUCUACGUGACAGUUAAAAUUAAAUUUAUUUAAUUAAAAACAUAUUUUCAUCCCAGUAGCUGGACAUCCAAGUUGGCAUUUAAAACAUGUUUGGAUUGCUACGUAGGACAAUCGUUAGGGAGGUAACGGAGCUUAACGGUAGAGCGACCAUUUCAUAACAAAAUGAUAACAUAUGUGACUAAAAUAUAACAUUUUAAACAUAAAUGAUUAAAAUGUAAUAUGAUUCAAACAAAAGUAACUAUUUUUAUAGUUUACCAUUUUAUUUUUAAUUUGUUUGAAUAAACAUGGAUACAACACAUAUAUUUUAUAUAAAAUAAUUUAAGUGGCGGAAUUUUUUAAAAGAAAAUCAGAAAGGACGUGGAAAAUGGGUUAAUUGGUGAAUAUGUGUAAAUCCUUCAAUAAUUGAAUUGGUCAGCCAACACUUAAAGACUAAGGAUUAGACAGCUAGUAAACACAUCAGCAUAUAAUCAAGCUUGCGUGGAGAACCUAGCGUGUAAGGAAACAAUACAUCCUUAUCUAUUCACUAAAUCUUCUAAUGCUAUGAAAAAAAAGGAUAGAAUUUUGUGAAUUUUAUAAUUGGAAAGUUUAAGGAUAGGAAAUUAAUAUGAAAUUUGGCUUUUUUGUUUUUUUAAUUUGUAUUCCAAGUUAGUUUUUUACUAUUUAAGUCAAACAUUUCUAUUGGGUAUUGUUAAAUUAACAUGAGUAUUAUUGUUAAUAUAGAGGAAUGUGUGUUUGAGUGCGUUGAAGUGUUAGGUCUGUUCUUGACGUUUUUGGGCCUUAACAAAACAAUAAAAUGGGUUUCAAGUUCCUUAAAAGUUGAAGAAAAAAAAUUUGGUCCCUAAAAGUUGGUAAAAAAAAUUUGGCCUUUAAAAGUUAAAAAUAAGAAUUUUGGGCCCCUUAACAAUUGGAGAAUAAUAUUUUAGACCCCUUUCAGCCUUGGGCUCUGGGAAGCCGCACCUCUAGACGACCUCUAGAGCCAGGCCUGUGAAGCGCAUUAUCCUCUUAUUUAUGGGUUGGAGUAUAAUCAGAACCUAUAAUGAGAUUGUUAAAAAAAAUUUUAAAACAAAAAAGUUUUAAGAUGGAUUGUGAAUUUAAGGUUUUUUUUUAAUGGUUACAAGUUGCUUGGAAACAAAAUAUUAGUAAAUCAGAAUAGAAAAAUAAAUAAAUAAAUAAAUUGAAAACAAUUAGUCUCUCGAUAUGAUAAAUUAAUUUUGUUUAACAUUCGUUGUAACGACGGUUAGAAAGAAAACAAGCAGCGAAAAAAAUAAAAGAAGAAAAGAAUUGACACAACCGAUCUUUGUUAAUACAGUUUAGACACAGUGGUCCUAUAUUUGCGGAGCCUCUCCCAGUGAAUGAUUUUAUUCAACAAUCGUUCGGAUCACCUAUUGGCUUAAGCCCGAUUACCUUUACACAAAGAAAUAAUUCAAGCUUCAAUAUUGACCCCAAUUGUCACAAAUCACUCACCCAAAUACCUCACAAUAUGAUAGACUUUAAACUCCUAUUUAAAAGUUGAAAUUAUCCCAUUAAUUAUCUUUAGUACCCCAGGGUGAAUCAAACUCAGUAUAAACGAAACCUAUUUAAGGCCCAAGUCAAUAACUUAAGUAGAGAAACAGUUUCGUUAUAAUUGGACAUAAAACAAACAGCAAUUUUCCCAACAAAAACAUAAUGGGGAGAGCGAGACUUAUUCCUAAGUUGGCAAAUGCAAUUGCUCAGCUGUUUGUUUCAUGCAAAACUUAGUUGGCAAUUAACAAAUUCAAAUAGGCUCAACAUCUUUAACCUAUGGAUAGAAUUUCUAAUGCCAAUUUGAAUUCCUUCCUUCCAAGAAAUCCUUCAACAUUUUUAUCUCUUUGUGCAAGCAUUAUUGUAACAAGUCCAUCUUCUUAACUUUCACUAGAGAAUCUGUGGUGAUAUGGAGUUUACAGUAAACCCUAUUCGAAUGGGGAGUAACAAUCCUCUUUUGUCCGAUGAUUCUUUUGUUUUGGGUAAGAAUUCCAAAAUUCAUUUUACAAAGAGUAAACGAAAGUUGUGUUAUUGUUUAUGGGAAUACAUGAAAGUAAUCUAGAGUCGAGCAUUUUAUACCAUUUGUCUUAUAGAAUUUUGGGUUAACUUCGUUUGGUCGGUAAAUUUGACGAUAUAUGUCAUGUUAAUCUUUCUAAAAAAGUAAAUGGUGAAUUACAUUAAUGGUUAUCUAAUUAUGAUUUUUUUUUAUCACCCAACCAUAAAAAAUUACAAAAUAGUUAGUCAAUUAUUAGUAUUUUUUUUAUCAUCCAAUUAUAAAAAAGUGACAAAAUAAUCUUCAUUUUCAUGUUAACCGACUAAUAACUAAAAAAUUAAUUGAAUAAUUAGAUGAUCAUUUUGUAAAAUUUUCAUAGUUAGGUGAUAAAUGAAACUAUAAUCUGAGUGUCCUCUAUUAUAGUUUUGAGUAUAUAAAUAAUAAAAUUGCACAUCCUAUUUGAUAUUUUUGAGCAAAAGAAAAGAAAAGAAUAAUGAACUUGGAUACAUGGUAUUAGAGCGACUUAUGAUUGCAAUUGCACAUCCUAUAUGAUAUUUUUUUAGCAAAAAAAAAAAAGAGAAAAGAAUAAUAACCUUAAAUACAUGGUAUUAGAGCGACCUAUGAUUGCAAUUCCACAUUGACUUCCCAUAGGAUGGAUCAAUAGGUACUCCAAGUCAAACUCCUAAAGUGUGCAGUAGGAGAAAAUAACAACAAAACCCAUGACAAACGCAACACGAGUUUAGAUGGAGAAGAAUAUUAAGCGAAACACUAAAAAAAUUAGAUAACAUUAUUAAUCCCAUAUCAAAAAACAAAUAAGAAAACAAGUAGACUUGUACGCUCUAGGAAAGCAUAUGACUAAUAUCACUAGGGGGGUUUAGCUAGGUACAGCUGAUGGUCCCAAGUUGAAAGGGACUCUUGAGUAUCGCUGAUGUUUUGACCUUAGUCCUAUAUAAUAGGGGCAAAACACUAUCUAUCCGGCGCGUCCACACCCAAUGAGAUAGAUUUUUGGUCACCUAGACUGAAUGGUCUAUGGACGCCUCUAAUCCAGCUGACUUAUCCUAUUUUAUACACAAAAAUGUUGAAAUCUCUAAAUAAUGAAGAGUAAACUAAAAUCAAAUAGCUUCCAUUAACAAGACAUGGGGUUAGAGCUUAGGGUUUAGAAUUAAUAAAGAAUCAUGAUUGCAAGCCAAACCUGGAUCAUUCAUAUACAUUAGAUGACAAUGAUAUCUCUAUAAGUUUUAGCAUUAAAACUAGGUUUGAGGAAACAUCAAAACAGAAAAUCCAAUUUGCAGACAUAAAAUACUUCAUUAAUUACAUUAACAAAAAGCUUAUCAAACAUUCCUUUGGAAAACAAUUUUGCAAAGACACUGUUAACUGCACAUAAUGAUUUAUAUUUGACUUGUAUAAAAGCAAUUGUACAUACCUUUUCAAGAUUUUCAAUUCCCCUCUUUCUUGUUUCAUCUGCUAUAUAAUACAAAAUUCCCCAUCAGCUACAUGCAUAGCUAAAUAGAGCUUUAGGCAUUCAAAAAGCUAAAGAACACAUGUUGGCCUCGAGGAAACACACAGAACCGUGCACAACGUCACAUUUCCACUUUCUCAGCAUGCUCGAAUUGAUGAACACAACGAACAGUGCUAACACAAUACUAAAAAGGUUUUCUUUAUGGAAGACAACUUUCUAUGACCAUUUUUCCACGACACGCUCUGAUAAUCUAAUUUCCUCAUCCUUGGAAAUAUGUGGAUCUAGCUUCUGAAGGUUGUCAAUAAAUGUCUUUGCCUCAUCACGCUGAUUGAGUUUACAAUAUCCAUCAACUAUGGAAUUGUAUGUAUUCUGGUUUGGUUUACAGCCGUGCUUGAUCAUGAAUUGGACAACAUCUAUGGCUUCCUCAAACAAGGAAUCAGCUGCAUAGCUUGCAACAAAGGUAUUGUAAGUGAUAACAUCUGGAACAAGGCCAGAAUCACCCAUUUCUGAAAAUAUCCGAGAAGCCUCUUUCAUUCGACCGUUUCUACAAUAGGCAUAAAUAACAGUGUUAUACGAGAUUAUAUCUGGUUUUAUUCCUUUUGCCUGAACUUCCCUUAAAAUUUGUUCUGAUUCCUCGAACUUUUCAGAGCGGCUAUACAUAUACAUCAAACUGUUGUAGGUCGUCAAGCUCGGAGUAUACCCACACUCAUUCAUGAAGUUCAAGAUCUCAUUUGUCUUGGAAACCAUCUGCCUCCUGCCAUAUAUUGAGAGCAUGGCAUUUAGAGUAGUUAUGUCAGGUGGAAAUCCUUUCUUCCUCAAUUCCAAGAAAGCACGCUCUGUAUCCGCAAGAAGGUCGCAUUUACUAUUAACCAAAACAAGAGUCUUUAACAGCACAGCAUGAGGUUCGAUGAUACCGGAGUAUAUCUCUUCCGCUAGGGCAUGCAUCCGAUCUACCUGCUUCCCAUUGGCAUAAACAUGAAGCAAAGAACAGUAGGUUAGCUCAUUGGGUUUGCAACGACCGUCUCUCAUUUCAGCCAGUAUUUUCUCAGACUGCUUCCAAAGCCCUCCCCGUGCCAAUGCCGCCAAAACAGCAUUAUAUGUAGAAAGGUCGGGGGUAACUCCAGCUUCCAGCAUUCUCUUAUAAAUAGCCAUGGCUUGAUCAAAAGCACCACAGCGACUGUAUGCACUAAUUAAAGUGUUGAAUGUGUCCCUUUCAGGUACAAACCCUGCCCUCUUCAUCUCCUUGAACACUCCAGACACUUCUACAUCCAUUCCAUUUUGCCCAAAUACUGCCAGUAGUGUAUUCCAAGUAACAAUAUCCGGUGCACCAUUGCAUGCCUUGAUCUCGUCAAAAAUCUUCAUCAUCUCAGUGAACUUCCCGCGGUUACCGUGCAUCUUAAUUAGAGCAUUGAAAGUGCAAAUAUUCGGCUUGCAACCAGAAGUUCUCAUCUCCUCAAAAACCGCCAUUGCAGACUCAUCUUUUCCGGCCUUGGCAAAUCCCGACAAAAGAGUGGUAUAGGUAAAAACAUCAGGCUUAAUCCCUUUUCCCUCCAUCUGUGUUUUCAAGUCCAUUGCUUCCUGCAACAGACCAUCCCUAGCAUAAGCGGAAAUCAACGAAUUAUAAGUCACAGUGCUAGGGGCAAACCCAUUAAGCUCCAUCUCUUUUAAAACCUCCAUAGCUUCCUUCGGACGCCGAGACUUACCAUAAACAUCCAACAAUGCAUUGUAAGUAACAUUAUCUGGAGUAAAACCAGCCAAUUUCAUUUCAUCGAAAACCGAAGCCGCUUCCUCAUGCAAAGACCCUCGACGACAGCUACUUAUAAGCGUAUUAUAAGUAUAAGCAUCAGGGGCAAUUCCAUCACUUUUCAUUCCAUCAAAAAGAGCCAUGACCUUACUCCAAGGCAUGCCCAUUUUACCAUACACAUUCAAAACCACAUUAUAAGUUAUCAAAGUAGGUUUACAACCCUCUUCCUCCAUUUUCUUAAAAACCACCAUGGCUUCCCUAUACCUCCCACUACCAGCAUAAGCAGUUAUCAAUGAAGUAUAAGCAUAAACAUCAAGACUAAACCCUUCUUUGUGCAAACCAUUAAACAAAUUAGCUGCAACAGAAACCCUCCCCUCUUUCCCUAACAUACUAAUAAUAAUAGCAACAACAGAGCUAUUCAACACCAAUCCACAAUCAUUUCUAGCUCUAACCCAAUUGAAAACACCCAAAGCCAAGUUAGAUUUCUUGUAAAAACCCAAAGCUUUAACAAUUCCCACCACUUCCGCAGCCAAAAAAUCAGCUUUCACAUCUGGGUUUUCUUGGUAUUGCUCAAACAACUUACUCAAAACAACAUCAAGUUGAUUAGAAUCAAAAGAAGGUUCAAUUAAGGAAUUAAGAACCUGCUGACCUUGAGCAGAGAGGUUGUUAUGAGUCCAACGCUUCCCACGGUUGACGUCACGUGACCGGCCGAGACGGUUCCGGGUCCGGACUUGUGGGUCGAUGGGUUGUUGGGACUUAGAAUUAUGUCGAAGAAGGAGGUCUUGAAAGACUGGAGUCGAGGGAGCAGGUGAAUUGGGUUGUGAAGUUGGGUUUUGUUGAGUGAAGUGAGUUUGGUUUGAUAAUGGGGUUUUAACAGGUGGGGGAUUUGGAAGGAGAAGAGGGAGAGCAAGCCUCUCUGCCAUUAAAGAGAGGAUAAGAAAGUUGCAGCCUUUGUAUCUAUGGUUGAGUUAGAAACAGAGAGGGAGAAAAAGAAAAGGGUAAUUGAUAAUUUUAGUGCGCUUUCGUUAUUACUUGCAGAGUCCACAACUUUUUUUUUUAGAAGUCUAAGGCUUAAAGGGGGACAUGACAAAGAUAUGCGGAGGAUAUUUUAGGAGGUAAAAGGGAGAUUAUAUUCUUCUGUGGUUAAGAAUGAACUAUUGAAAUACUAUGACCAAUAAAAGGUUGCCACGUAAACUCUGAAAGCGGACUCUUAAGUCAAAAUUGGUGACGUUUGCCCUCUUCAAAAUUAGUUCGAUUAGACAAAUUAUACUUAUUUAAACAUUUUCUCUUUUAUUUUUAUAUAAAAAUUAAUUUAAAGUGAAGCUUAAUAUUAUUAUAUUAAUAAUAUUUUUUAUUUUAAAAAAUAUUUAAAAUUAAUAAAAUAUUUAUAAUUUUCAAUAUUAUUAAUCAUACUUAUUUAAUUAUCUAUUUCUAAUCAUAUUAAUAACUUAUUAUUUUAAUAAUUUAUUUAAUAAUUUAAUUUUAUUUUAAAAAUAAAUUUGAAAAAUAAUAAUUUUAAAUAAUAUUCUUCAUAUAGUAUUGAAAAAUAUUCAAUGUUAAUAUUUUAAUAAUAAAUAUUUAUUACAAUUAUAAAUAUAUUACAGAUAAAUAUUUUGUAGUAUAAAUGUUAAAAUAUGUCAUAAAUAUAUAUACUCCUCACAAAUUUGAAAUUUAGUCCCUAUUCUUUUAUUUUCAAGAAUUUAAUCAUUCUACUGUUCAUAUUUAAAAAUCAAGUCCAAUUGUUAACAUUGUUAAAUUUUUUUUGUCAAUUUUGUUGAUGUCAAUUUUUAAAUAAAAAAUACUUGAUAUUCAUGUAACUAAAAGAUGACGUUACAAUUAACAUGAAUUUAACAAAAUAUUUUUAAUAAUGCUAUCAGAUGAACCUUAAUUUUGAUAUAUAAAAGGUAGGACUAACCCAAAAAUAAAAGCACAUGGACUAAAUUUCAAAUUUACGAAAAGUACAAUGACUUAUGACAUAUUUUAACCUAGUAUAAAAAUAUGAAUAUUUUAAUUAUAUAAAUUUGAAUAUUUGUUUAAGUAAUGUUUAGCUUCAUUUAUCCUUUACAACUCUAAUGUGUCAAUAUCUAUUCUCACAUAUCUAAUAUAUAUAAUUAAAAUUAAGUUUUAAUUAAGCAUUAUUUAUUAUUAAGUUUAUAUAUGACACUGAUUAUUACAAAAUAUUUUCUUAUUAUAAAAUAAAUUUCAAUUGUUAAAAGGAAAUUGCACUGUAAUAUUUUAUAACAAAUAUAUUUAUGUCAUGUUUGUUUUACAAAGAACAAUGUAAAAUAUAAAUUUAUAGAUAUAAAAUAAACUCAAUUAAACAAUGAAAAUAUAAGAAAAUCUCAUAUGUAUGUUUGUUUCAUUGAAAACAACUUUUAUGAAAUAUUUAUAGUAAAUCUGUCAAAUAACAGAAAAUAUUAAUUUUUCAAAAAAGUAAGUCAUUUUCCAGAAAUCAUUUUUCGGAAGUCAUUUUCAGUGAAACAAAUGGAACCUAAACUUGAAAAUCGUAAGUUAACUUGAUAUUUUUUUAGGCACCUAAUACUAUUAAAAUAUACUGACAUAACACUGACGAUCAAUUGGAUGGUGACACGUGAUAACCUCACAUUUUUUAUUAUAAAUAUUAUAUUUUUUUAUUUUGCCACGUGUCAAAAUAUAAGGCUAUCACGUGUCACCAUUCUAUUAGUAGUCAACGUCACAUCAGCGUAUUUUAAUGAUGUUAGUCAAGUAGCUAAAAAAACACAAAGUUGACUUAUAAUUUUUAAGUUUAGGUACCAGUCAGGGCCAAAAUUAAACUAUGUAAUUGAUAUUUAUGUCAUUAUUGUUGUUUAUUUGUGUAACUAAGAAUUGAUGACUUUAUUGUUUCAACCACUAAUUCGGUUUCCAAAAAACAUUGAUUCAAAGGAAACUAACCUAAACCGAACUAUAUAAUUGAUGUUUAUGCCAUUAUUAUAUAUGUGUUUAUAAUAACUAGAAUCGAUAACUUAACCGUUUCAACCACCUCUUCCAACUUCUAAAAAAAACAUUGGUAAAUGGAAGUUAGAUUAUUUUCAAAUCUUCAAGCUUUAUAAGUUAUUGAAUCGAGUGAUAAAAUACUUAUUAAUUCAUAAAAAGUUGAUGAAUCGUUUGAAAAGAAAGAAAAAGAAAAAGAAAAACCAAUGCUAAAAAAUGCUUGUUUCUUAUUUAGAAGUCCAAUUCAACUCAAGUUGUGUUUAGUAUUACUUUUAAGAAGUAUUUUUGAGAAAAAAAUACUUUUGAGAUAAAAACAUUAUUAAAUAAAAUGCUAAAUUGACCCGCAAUCGAUACCUGUGGGNNNNNNNNNNNNNNNNNNNNNNNNNNNNNNNNNNNNNNNNNNNNNNNNNNNNNNNNNNNNNNNNNNNNNNNNNNNNNNNNNNNNNNNNNNNNNNNNNNNNNNNNNNNNNNNNNNNNNNNNNNNNNNNNNNNNNNNNNNNNNNNNNNNNNNNNNNNNNNNNNNNNNNNNNNNNNNNNNNNNNNNNNNNNNNNNNNNNNNNNNNNNNNNNNNNNNNNNNNNNNNNNNNNNNNNNNNNNNNNNNNNNNNNNNNNNNNNNNNNNNNNNNNNNNNNNNNNNNNNNNNNNNNNNNNNNNNNNNNNNNNNNNNNNNNNNNNNNNNNNNNNNNNNNNNNNNNNNNNNNNNNNNNNNNNNNNNNNNNNNNNNNNNNNNNNNNNNNNNNNNNNNNNNNNNNNNNNNNNNNNNNNNNNNNNNNNNNNNNNNNNNNNNNNNNNNNNNNNNNNNNNNNNNNNNNNNNNNNNNNNNNNNNNNNNNNNNNNNNNNNNNNNNNNNNNNNNNNNNNNAAUAUAUCUUAAAUUUUAUUUUAUUGUAAUUUUAUAUGAAUUGAUUAUAAUUUUAAUUGACCGAAUAUAUAUCCUUUAUUAUUUAUAUUAUAUUUGUACUUGUAAUUUUUUUAAAAAUUUAAAUUAAACAUGCCCUUUUUUUAAAAAUGUAAAUAUAAAUAUUUGUUUAUAUUAUAAUGUGUUUAUAAUAAGAGUCAGAUUAUAUAUAUAUAUAUUUGUAAUAGAGUCAGAUUAUAUUUUACAUCUUCUGUUCGAAAAAAUUGGAAAAUUAAUCAACAGAUAAAAAUUAAAUCUAUUCUUAUUAUUAAAAAUUAUUUAAUUUCUGAAAAAAUUCUUAUAGGUAACCUUUUAGAUCUUUUUUAGCUGUGUUUAUUAAAAAAAAUAAAAAAAUAUAAAAGUAGUUUUUUUAGAGUAAAUGUAAAACUUUAAAAUAAUUGUAAUAUGUAAAAUUAAAAAUAUUAAACUAUUUACAACCGUCGGAUUAAAAAUGAUAUAUUUUUGAAUGAUGAUGAAGAUCGAUUCCUGAUGUAUAUAAAUACUGCCUUCUAUUCCCUUCAGUCUUCGCUUCACCCACUUUCUCAUUUCACACGGGUUGUGGCGUAGUUUAAGCAGAGAGGGUGCGCAGGAUAAAGCUAUUCACCAUUGUUUCAACAUGAAGGUUUGUAAUAAAAAUUUGUUUCUAUCAGCAUUGCUUUGCAUUGCUGUUGCAGGAGUUUUGGGUCAAGCUCCUAGUAAUCCUCCUACGUCUACGCCGGCGCCACCCACACCACCGGCUUCUACUCCUCCUCCGACGACUCAAGCACCGCCUACACCAACCGCCACUCCGCCACCGGUUUCUACUCCUCCUCCCACUUCAUCACCGCCCCCAGUGACAGCUUCUCCACCCCCAGUUUCAACUCCUCCACCCAGUUCUCCUCCUCCUGCAACUCCACCACCUGCUUCUCCUCCUCCUGCAACUCCACCUCCAGCUUCUCCACCUCCUGCCACUCCUCCACCAGCUUCUCCACCUCCCGCCACUCCACCACCUGCAACCCCACCGCCAGCAACUCCUCCUCCUGCUACCCCACCACCAGCUCCAUUGGCUUCUCCUCCAGCCACAGUCCCAGCUAUCUCUCCAGUACAAACACCAUUGACAUCGCCACCAGCUCCGCCGACCGAGGCCCCAGCACCUACCCUCGGGG